AAGACUUGGUCUUUAUAUUUGAAUUAGUACAAUCUGAUCAACAAGCACACUGUUUUUUGAUAUUAAUACGUUUGAUAUUUUACCUCAUUUAAAUUAAUCAAUACAGUUGAAAUCGAAUGCAUAGAAAAGCACAUCCAGUCUAACUAAUGUAAUUAAUCUCAAUCUCAUGUCUGCAACAAUUACGCUGUUUGGAUGAACUGAUUUGUCAAAUAUUUUCGAAACUUCAUGACAAGCAGGAAGGGAGUUUAAUUUCCAGUGUCUAAAACAUUCACCGCCAACCUUUUUGUGCCUUUUGUCUUCUUUUCGGGUUUAAGGUUUAGAGUUUACUUGCAAUAGUGCCUGCACGUUGCUGCGGGUGUUAAAAUUACUGGACGUAAAAAUGCAUAAAAAACAUGAGAAUAUGGUGUAAAAUGAUAUGUAACCCAAUCUUGUACUGAGAAAGAACUCACCAGGAAGCAGUUACCUAAACUCAAUAAAAAAUGAAAUAUAAUUACUCUUAAGUAUGCUUAUUUUCAGGAAUCAGAACAACUUGAAAAUAUCCCAAACAGACUCUUAUACCUCAUGUAUCCAAUAGAUCCGAAAAAUAUAAAGAUAUCAAUAGAGCUUCAAUUUCUAAAGGAAAAACUUGAAAUUAUAUACGUAAGAGUUAUGUUCCACCUGCAGAUAAAAGUGAGAAAGACAAAGUUUUCCAAAAUUCUAUUAACUUUACAUAUUAUCAAUAUAAUUUCGCAACAAAAUACAUAGGUUUCAACACUAACAGCAUAAACAGUUCUAAAAGUGUAAUCUAAACUAAUGUUUUCAACAGAAAUGUAAAUAUUCUUUUUAAGGGAUUAAGAGCAACUCCAGUGUAGGAGCCCUCCCCUCAGGCUAUUCACUAUUUAAUCCACCUAGUGAACAGUAACUGCCCUUAAUGAAUAGUGCAUUCCCCUGGCAAUUGCCUUUUGCAUCUCCAUCCCUGCCACUGAAAUAGCCAUGGCAAUUGGCAAUAAAUAUAUUUUAUAAGUAUUUUUUUAUUUAUAAUUAAUAUUAUAUUAUUUACUUUGUAUAAAUUAAUAUUAUAUUAUUUGUUGUAAAUAGUAUAAUAAUGUAUGCCCACAUGCAUACAGUAGACAUAUCAUAUGCUUAAUAGUGUUUUUGUUUGUUUCCAUGGUGAUGCUCUAUAAAUAGAGCUUUACGAAUGUUCAAUUCUAAAGCAGAGAAAAUGAAGAGAAAAAUAUCUAAUAGUAAAUAUCAUAUAACAUUACUUCCUCUGCAACAGCUUGUGUUGGUAUAAUACUCUGCAACUGCUUCGUUCCUGGUCCCCGAAUAAAGGUUAUCUCUCUCUAUACACUUUUACCAUUUUUAUAUACACGUUAUAUCAGCACGAGUCUCUAAGUAUAACCAAUGUCUCAUUUACAUUCACUAAACAAUAAAGGAAAUAUUCAUCAUCUCUCAUUUCUCUCCGCUGAACGAAAAAAAAAAAAAUGUUUCCUCUCUAAGGUUUUUCCUGUUCAUCUUCAUCUUCUUCAUCUGCCUCAACUGCGCGCGGUAUAUUCCUUGCGACGAAACUAUUUGCUCCAUGCCUGCUCGUAGUUCUCCAACUAGCGGUUACACAUACAUCUUUGAUUACUUGUUUGGUUUGGAUAUUGAUUAUAACAUAACAUAGUAUUAUAAUUUGAUUUUUACUGCAAUCCACAAAUUGGUGUGGUACACAAUCGCCCAUCUCUGAACUGCAAAAGAUUUUCAUCUUACUGCGAUCCAAGAUGGUGCGGUAUCAUCGCCUAAUCUUUGGACUGCAGAUCUACUUUUACUGCAAAUUUCAGGUGGAGCGGUAUAAAUCGCCCUCCUUGCUCUUCAAAUUUAAAUUUACCUGUUAUUUAAUUUCAUUGCAAUUUUUCAGGUAGCGGAGCUAUAUUAUCGCCCUCCUUGCUCUUCAAUUUAAAUAAAUUUUACCUGUUAUUUAAUUUCAUUGCAAUUUUUAGGUGCCGUAUUGUAAUGGUAUAAUCGCUUGUUCCUCCUUGUUCUCCAAAAUUUAAAUUUACCUGUUAUUUAAUUUUACUGCAAAUUUCAGGUGGAGCGUUUAUAUGAUUAUAAUCGCCCUCCUUGCUCUUCAAAUUUAAAUUUACCUGUUAUUUAAUUUCAUUGCAAUUUUAGGUGGUGCGGUAUAAUCGCCCUCCUUGUUCUCCAAAUUUAAAUUUACCUGUUGUUUAAUUUCAUUGCAAUUUUAGGUGGUGCAGUAUAAUUGCCCACCCUGCUCUGCGUAUUUCAAUUUUCUUGCUACUUGAAUGGUGCGGACUAAUCGCCCAUUCCAUGUUACAUUCUUUCAAUAAGAAUGGUGCGAUACAAUCGCCCUUCUCAUUCACCCUGAAAAUCUCGAGCCAAAAGUUUCGAGUGCUUAUCAUUUUGGCCUGAAGAUCAAAAUGAAAAAUUUAUAAGAACCAGAAGUUCUAACAUCACAUUCCUCUAGGAAUACAUAUUACUGCAAGUUCUUACACAUCUCAUUUUCUUUCAGAAAAGAAAAUGACGAACUUGGCUAAGCUUGAAUAUGCUGCCCUGGACAUUACCGGGAAGAAUUACCUUACUUGGGUACUUGAUACCAAGAUCCAUCUGGAAGCAGGGAAUCUUGGAGAUACCAUCAGGGAAGAAAGCAGCUCAUCUUCUCAAAAUCGGGCGAAGGCUAUGAUCUUUAUUCGCCGCCAUCUUGAUGAGGCACUAAAGAGUGAGUACUUAACGGUUGAAGAUCCAUUAGCUCUCUGGGAGGCCUUGCGAAGCAGAUAUAAUCACCAAACAACGGUGAUUCUUCCAAAAGCUCGCUAUGAGUGGUCUCACCUGAGAAUUCAGGAUUUCAAAUCAGUGGCGGAGUACAAUUCUGCGUUGUUCAGAAUUACCUCUCAGAUGAAGCUCUGUGGGGAUACCAUUACUGAUGAAAUAUUGCUGGAAAAGACUUACAGCACAUUUCAUGCCAAUAACGUGCUCCUGCAGCAGCAGUAUAGAGCGCGAGGCUACACUGAAUACAACCAGCUGAUAUCUGUGCUCCUGGUAGCUGAACAGAACAAUGAGCUCCUGAUGAAAAACCAUAAUUCCCGACCUACUGGAUCUGCAACCAUUCCCAGAAGUAAAUGACUCCUCGAAGUGCCACAUCCUCUGGUGGAAUUAUCAAGGGAAGGAACCAAUAAACGGUCGAUGGAAUAAGAAGGCAAGACCAUGGUGUCAGUUUCACAACCAGGUUCAGAGGCAUAAUUCCUGGCCCGAGUUCAAAAAAUGUGAAUCGUCAAAAGGCAAAGCUACCAAUGCCCAGGAACUCUGAAGGAGCCUGCCAUAGGUGUGGUGGCAAUGGGCAUUGGGUGCGAACUUGUCGUACCCCAAACACAUCUGUGGAGUUGUAUCAAGCCUCCUCAAGAAAGAAGGUUCAAGCAAUCCUCGACCAGGCUAACCAAUGGAUAACUCACCUGAUCAGUUUUAUUUAUCAGGAAUAUUCGGUAACCCACCUAGAUGUUUCAGACUUCAUUACGGAAAGGGAAUGAAGAUAUAUUUUUCUGUUAUCGUUUGUUUGUUAACUGAACUUCCAAUUUUUUCACUUCAGAAAGGCAUGGAUAAAAACCCAUUGGUUAUUCUCAGUUAUAAAACAUAAGAAAUGGCGGAGAUAUUGUCUGCAGACAGUGCAACACACAUACAAUACUUCGGUGAUCGAAGUAUUUCCUCAAGCUUAUGCUUACAAAAUAAGGGGUAAACAAUAUCAGGACCUCAAUGUGAUUGAAGGCUCAGGAAAAAGCCCAGAUUAUGUUACCAAUGGAAAAUAUUAUCCAUACAAAAUGCCAUUGUAUGAUCUACUCGAAUUUGUUGAGUUUUCAAAGACAUACGUCUAAAUGGAUACCAAAAAAUUGAAAACGAAAUGUGCGUAAAAUGUGGUUGCGUGUUUUUGCAUUAUGAGUUAUAUAUGGAUAGUGGGACAGUGGAAUCUAUAUAUACAUCAAGUAACUGAAAUCAGGUUUACACUUUGGCAUGAACCAGAAGUUUCAUCCAAAGGAUCCACAUGUGCGGUGGAUCAUUACCAACGUCAUUCCAACUGGACAUCCAUUAUUGAGCAGAGACAUUGCUAUCUCAAAUGAAACCCUGCAAGGUGUGUUCUCAAGGAAGUUGGUAUUAAGACCAUCACACAUAAAGGUUGAUGCUGAAUCCCAUCAUUUUCUAAAAGAAUUCAAGGGGAAUCUGUGGACCUAUUCAACCAUUCUUGAUGGACCAUUUCAUUAUUUUUGGGUUUUGGUUGAUGCAUCCACUAGAUGGUCACAUGUUUGUCUCUUGUCUACUCGGAAUGUAGCUUUUUGCGACUCUCUUGCUCAGAUAAUAAGUUACGAGCACAAUCCAGAUUAUCCAUAAAUCAAUCGACUUGAUAACGCUGGUGAAUUUACGUCUCAAACUUUUGAUGAUUACUGCAUGAAUUGGCAUUGAAUGUCAACCCCUGUUCCUCAUGUCAUACUUAAAAUAGCAGAAGCAUUUGAUCAAGCGGCUUCAGUUAAUAGCCCGCACUCUGCAAAACCAAAUUGCCAGUUCUGCAGGGGACAUGACAUUCACAUGCUGCAUCAUUGGUUCGAUUGAGACCUAUAGCCCAACCACCAAUACUAUAAAUAAACGUGUUGGACAUCAGCCAAACAUUUCACUUUUACGAUUUUUGGUUGUGCUGUUUAUGUGCUAUUGCACCACGCACUAAAUGCACUCAGCUAAUGGGAUCUAUGUGUUUUGAUUACCAUCUAUAUUAGAUAUUUGGAACCCUUGACAGGGAUAUGUUUACAGCUCGUUUUGCUGAAUUGUCAUUUUAUGAGACAGUCUUCCAUCGUUAGGGGGAGAAAAAGAAACCGUUCCAAAAGAACGGAAAGAGAACUGACAUGGGUUUUCCACCUUGUUCAUUUUGAAUUCCUCGAACCCUUCAAUGUGAAAAAGAAGUGAAAAAUGAUCGUUCAUCUUCAAAGCAUUGCCAAUCAAUGCCAGUGCAUUUAAUGACGCUAUGAAGUGACAAAAUCGCAUAUACCAGCUGCAAAUGCACCUGCCAGAAUGAUGUCCCUCAAAAUAAAGUGGCAGCGAAUGAUCAUUUGGUGCACGCCUGAAGCGUGAAGAACCCAGGUUCAAAAGAGAUUCAGCCCCUCGGAAGAGAAAGCGAGGGCACAAUUGAAUCCAAAUGAAAUCAUUCAGGAAAGAGAGUCAAUGAAAAUCCACAAUUCAUGCCUCUGGACUUCAGAAAAGAAAAUGGUCUGAAGGCAGAAGUACAUGAAAGCAAAGAAAUCUCUCCAUAAAUUAUGCAUGUAUAAUGAAUUGUGUGGGAUCAGAAAAAUCAUUGACGAUAUGUUUGCAUUCGCAAGUAGCCACUGAAAUCAUAUUAAGUGAUGAUAUUGAGCUUGUUGAUGAAUGCAACAGAGACAAGAUUGGCCUAGUGAAGAUGCAAUCCAGCAAAUUAAAAUCCUUGAAAGCGAAGUGUUUUUGGACAGUAGUAAACCCCAACCCACUAAUUUAAACCCCGAACAAACAUGGAUACAAAGCACGCUACUCGUGCACAAGGCUUUCACAAAGACCUGGAAUUGAUUAUAGGAGACAUACUCUCCUGUAAUGGACACAAUUACGUUCCGUUACUUAAAUAAGUUUGGUGAUUUCAGAAAAACUUGACAUGCAACUUAUGGAUGUCAUCACCCGUAUCUAUAUGGAGAUUUAUACUGAACAUAUGUAUGAAAGUCAGGGGACUUAAGUUGCCUGAAGCAACAACAAACCACGGGUUCUCUCAUCAAAUAAGGCGAUCACUAUAUGGGCUGAAACAAUCUGGGCGAUGUGGCAUAUAAAUCGUCUAUAGUGAGUAUUUAUAUUAGCAUAAAGAUGAUAUCAAACUUCACGGACCCUGAAUUAAUAAAUCACAAACUCUGGAUUGCCUUGGCGAAUUAACUAGGUUGAUGAUAUGAACUUAGUUUUUGGUCCACAAUCAGCUUACAUUGAAAUAGCGAUUUGGCAUUGGACAAAGGCUUAUCCACUGUAGCACCCCAAUGGUUGUUCGUUUUUUUAAGGUACAUUCCGUUAACAUGAAAAAAUCUGGUGCAUUGAGCAUCAGCUUUUUCCACUUAGCUCCAAUGGUGUGUUCUUUAGAGUUAAGAAGAUCCAUCUUCUAAAUCAGACAAGCUUGUCAGAAUAAAUAUAUUGAGCGUAAUAAGGUGCUACAAAUUUAGCACAAUGUACAGACCAAAUAUAGCAUGUUUUCAGUUUAACUUCGUUAAAUGGUACAACCUCCAACAACUUCGUCAUUGAAGGAGCAAAAGUUCUACGAUUACUGCAGCGUGUCGACUAUGGGUAUUUUCUGCUCAGACAUAGCCCACAAGUGCACAAAAGCUUGAAGGCUAAAGUAUUGUUUUCUUCUUCCUAUAAUUGCAAAAAUGCUAAUUUCAAUGGAGCGCAAUCAACGAAGCAAACGCUAGUUGCCAUCAAUCAUUCGGAAAAUUUCUACAUAAGCAUCGUGAUGUUCUUGGUUAAGAUCAAUGAUCCAUCACAUCCGAAUUCAUUGUUGGUCUACCCAUCAAAACAGCCAUCCCAACUGUAUCCAGAGAUAAUGCAGAUGUGUCCCACAAUGAAGGAAGAAUUUCAAAGUGUAAGACUAACACAUAUCUCAACAAGAUUUUCAGACACAUGAGCUUCAGAAGGCAAAGUUAUUAUUUAGCAAGGAUCACCUAAUGAAACAAGCACUAUGGGCACAACUACCAAAGUGCAUAUCUUCAGGACACUGCUGCAGGAAUCGGAGUUACGUCGGCUAAUUUAAAGAAUGCAAGAACAGGGGGAGAUUCCCGAUUCAGGGGAGCAUGGCAACGCUCCCGUUGUGUACGCUUCGCUUGCCUGUUCACCUCGGGCUUACCAAACAACACGGAGCAUGUCACGCGCAACAAGUAUGUUCAAUUCACUGCAACCCCCUGCAAAAGGCUCCCCAAUGAGCUGCUCAUAAUACUUAAUUGGUUUGUGGUGAUGUCAUAAAUAGAGCUUUAAAUGUUCAACUAACAGAAAAGAAAGAGAAAAAUAAUUGUAAAGAAGUUGCUGGAGCAACUCGUUUGGCGUACAAAAUAUUAUAAUUGACCAUAACAUUAUUUUAUAAUAUUAUAAGUACGAUCACCACAACUAUGAUUUAUUUAACACGAUCGUCGAGAAAGUAUAACGAAAGCCUAAAGGCCGCAAAGCAGAACCGAGGGAGGAAUGGAAAGCGAUGUCUAUUUGUGACAUCCACGGCCAGCUAGGUUUUUGUUGGUCAAUUCUAGUUAUGAAACAUAAUGGAAGGGAUCUCAAAAUGCAGAGGAGAUGACAUCUUGACAUAAAAUCGUGUUAAAAGUGUUUGUGAUAUCGAUGUCCCUUGUGGAGGAGAAUAUUGGUAUAAGUGGGUAAAAUGAGUCAAUUGAAGCAAAUCAUUAUUAUAAUUGACCAUAUAUUUUUAGUACGAUGAUGAUUUUUAAACAGAUAGAAGAGUAUAAAAAGAAAAAGAAGCAGAACCUUUAUGGAAAGCGAUGUGAUUUGUGACAUACCUGCAGCUAGGUCUGUGUGGUCAAUUCUAGUUAUGAACAUUGGUAAACAAAAUAUGACAUACUAAUGAUAAAAUCGUGUUAAAAGUGUUAUGAUAUCGAUGUAAACUUGUGGUGGAGAAUCAUGUAUAAGUGGGUAAAAUGAUCGUCAAUUUCAAGCAAAUCAUUAUUAAAUGAGUAGAAUAGAAGGUGAAAAAGAUUGAAAAGUUGUAUUCAAAAUGGAUAAAAAAAAAUGGGAGUAAAGUGGAAGAAGAUAUGCAAUGUAGUACUAUGGUGAUUUUUGUUGUAAUAAUGGGGAUAAAGAAUGUUGAAAGAUGGAUCAGAUAGAACUUAAUUGGUGUAGAUAAACAAUCAUCAUUUCCAUCUUUCCUCUUCAGAGGAAUUGACUGUUACAAAUUUAUACACAAAGACUUUCGUCAUUCGUUGUGCUAUGAAUGCAUGUCAAAUUACUUGGUUAAUCACAAAAGGGUUUAAGAUGGACAUUCAAAAGUAUAAAUGUAGAUAUUUUAAGUAACCAUAUAUUGUCUCCACAGGAUGUUCACCAAUGCUUUGGAUGUCCAGGUUAACUCAUUAGUGGGGGAAAAGGUAAGUGGACAUGCGUUCAAAGCAGAUGAAAUGAAGAUAGUGCGUGCAUACAUUGGUAAUAGGCAAUUUCCCUGAAGAGAAACAUUAGUGAAGGUAGAACUUAAACAUAAAACAUUAAUGAAAAAAAGUAGAAAUUUUUGAGUAUUUUGAGAUACCGUAAGUAGUUAUACAGAUGUGUCCACAGGAGAAACAGAGCAGAUGAUUGGCUGUCAAAACCUAAUUUUCAGUAAUAAUGAGAUUUAUAUUAAUAUGUUUUUUUAGUAUAGACGAUGUUUUCGUGCAUAUGUUUUUAUGAAGUAUUAGAUAGAUGGCAAAUCAUUUGUUAAGCUAUUUUUUUCUUUUUUGUUUUAAUUAGUUACCUUGAGGACAAAGCACCUUGAAAGCGAAGAACAAACAGGGCAAAAUGCAGAAUAACCAAGAUUUUUGAAAUCCUGUAUUAAAAGAAAAAAGAACAUUAACCAUGAUCAAACAUAAUUCGAUUCAAGUAGACACUAAACUGACAUAAACACUUUAAAUGCAACAGAUGCAUAAUUGAUUUAAAAACAUUUAGUAAAUACUCAGUUAUCUUGAUCAGUCAACCAUCACAAACCAUGAAAUUAACAUCAAAUGAUCAAAUUAGUGAAUCUCAACAAAACAGUAUACCUCACUAACCAAGCUUAAUAAUUUUCACACCAUCUCUUUAGUUUCUCAAUUACUUUGACACCACAGGCUCAUUCAUGACCAAUGAACUCACAUUUUAGACAAAGAUAGAUGACACCUCAUUUGGUUUAAUCCUUAACAUCUAAGCAAGCUCAAAUACAAAUGUUUUGCUGAAAUUAAAUGAAUCAUAACUUUUUCUCUCAUCAUUUUUCUCCAAAUUGUGACCCAAGCAAUACAAUGAAAAAACCCAAAGAAAUGACUGUAAACAUAUAAAUCACUCCAUCAGUCAAAAUUUACAACGAUGUAUAAAGGAAGCUGAAUUAAUCGUAGAAGUUUAAAUCAGCUACCUUUAUAUACCCAUUUAUCAAUUGAAGCAACAAAAGUUUUAAAAGUGAAAUCAUAAUUUAAGCAUUCUAUAUCACCGUGCACCAUUUUUUUAUCGGUUUCUUUUAAAUUAAAUCUAAAUGAAUCACAAUGAAAAAAAAUACCAAACAACAUUUAUUAUCCCUCUCUCCAAUUUAAUCCAUGAGGUGCAACGCCAAAUCAAAUAAGCAAAGAAAGUGAAUACACCAAAGUGGUCACAGAUAUUUAAUCAACAAAGCAAAGUUAGUAAUAGUGUUAAUUUAUAAAUGUCAUGUACUCACAUAUAAAUAACGAUCCUGGUAUUUGCAAAUUGUGGAUAAGUUGAUGUGGAAGCAGAAUUUGUAGUAUUAGUUUUGAAAGCUGCAAGUCAACAACAAUAACUCAGGAUAAUACUGUUGUUUUUGCUUUAAUCCGUAUGAAUAAGACAGAACGGAUCCAUAGGCUUAACAAAUUAAACACACAUCUAAGACUCGAAAAGCUUAUCAAAUCAAACACAAAGAACGGAUCCAUAUGCUUAACAAAUCAACAAAACAAAAAUAAAUAAAAAAUAAAAAAUUCAAAGCAUAACCAUCACAGCAAGUCAAAUAAAAAGAAGAAGCUAUGGAUUUAAAUAAAACUGCCAACACAAAAAUCACCAAGAAAAUAUGCAUUACUAAUUAACAACCCAAACACACAAAAAAGGUCCCAAAUCACCAAAACAAAGCCAAAAAUAAAAAUAAAAAAUUCAACUGCAAAGAAAACAAAGGAAAAAAAACAAAUAAUACAUUUAUAUACCUUUAGUACAGAGAGUUCCAAGAAUCAGAAUAAAAAAUCCAAAAAUCUGAAAGGGGCUAUUUGCUGAAUCUGGAAAACAAAAUGCAUCAGACAUGUUCAACAACGAUCCAACCAAAAACAAUAUAAAGUAAUAAACAUGCAGAACUCACCUGGAAACGCCAGAUUAAAUCGGUCACAACCAAAUUCCAAGCGAAGUCGACACGUUGGUGUUCUCGAGCCUUCCAUGCUUUUUGAUCCCUGUCUCACAAACGCUUUUCUUCCUUUGAAUCCUCACGUUGGUACCAACGUUAUUAUACAGCUAUUUUAAUGACAUUGAAUAAAAAAUGUAAACGUUUAGAUAUUGGUUAGUAAAAUAAACAGUCUGCUUAUAAAUUUUGCAAAACAUCUUGAAACACUGUUUGCAGUAUAAUUGUUUACAUUAUUGUCUCCAUCUGGAAUCAAAAUUUUCAGACCUUUUUUUUAUGUAACUCUGGAUAAUGCUACAUAUAAUUGACCAUGGAUGAAAACAGGUUCAGGAAGAUAUAAACCAACUUGUUUCAAAGAUUGGCCUUGACUUUUGUUGAUAGUCAUUGUAUAACAUGGUCUAACCGGAAAUUGACGUCUUUUAAAAAUGAAAGGCCACUUAUUUUCUGUUGCUGUCAGAGUGAUUCUCAGAAUGAAUACUUUGUGACCAAUAUUGUUUCCAGCAAGUAUUUUAGCUUCAAUAAUUUGGUUGAAUAAUUGCGUAACCACUAAUCUUGUUCCAUUGCACAAACCCUAAGACUGAUUUAAAUUUCGUAACAACAUAAUUGGCAUUCCUAUUUUCAAAAUUAGCUUACGUGUAGGUAAACCAUUGAAAUCAAGUUUAUUAAAAAAUUCAACAGGAUAUAAUGUUUCUAAAUUUUCAUUAUUUCCAUUUGAAGAACACAAAGAAUCAUAGCUUAGAAACACGUUUUCUUCUUUAGGUAACAGAUCAGUUAUAUAAUUGUUUAUAUCUGUAACAGUUGUGUUUUGAGGUGUUAUAAUAACACGUUCUCUCAAGUAAGCAAAAUCUUGAUAAGAAUGUUCAAAAUUGGGUUAAGUUGCAAGAAAAAUUGAUAAAAUUGGGUUGUCAGAAGAAUUAACUAUUAAAUCUUUAGGUAUUUCAAUUAGACAUGUAUCUUUAUCAUUUGAAUUAUUUUCACCAAUUUUUCCAUCACCUAUUUGUAAAAUCCAAUUUGCAAAAUCAUUGAUUCUUCUCUUUUCAUCAAUGCUUAACCCAUUUUUUGAUAAUCUCAUGUUUUCUUUUAAAUAAAAUAUUUUAAAAUGUGACCACAAAUAAGAACUAUUUAAAGAAGCAUUUAUUAUGUCCUCUUUGCUUCCUCCAAGUAUAACAAGUAAUAUUUGUCAAAAAUCACCACCUAAGAAAAGAGGUUUACCACCAAAUAAAAUAUUACCUUGUGAAUAAUUUAAAUGGGACAUAAUGUCAUAAAGUGAUUUAUCUAAUGCUUCAAAAAAAUGUUUGUGAUUCAUUGGUGCUUCAUCCCAUAUAAUCAAAUCUGUUUUUUCAAUUAAUGUGGCAAGAUGAGUUUGCUUUUUUAUUGCACAAAUUGAAGAAUCAGUAAUAACCAAGGGAAUUUUAAAUCUGGAAUGUGCUGUUCUACCAGCUGGUAAUAACAAUGAGGCUAUCCCUAAUGAUGCCACAGCUAAAACAAUUUUUUUCUCAGAUCUAAGCUUACUUAUGAUAACAUCCCAUAAGAAAGUUUUUCUAGUGCCUCCAUGACCAUAAACAAAAAACAAACCACAUUUUUUUUCUUUCCAUAGCAUCUAUAACACAAUCAUAUAUAAGUUUUUGACCUUGAUUAAGUUGUAAUUUUAAAUUUGCGUGUUUUUUUGACAACUCUUAAGAAUCAUAGUUUAAUUCUUCUCUUAGAAGCUUAUUUUUAAUUUUUAACAUUUUUCUUGCAUCAGGCAUUGGUAAAUGAUACUUAGCUAAAGAACUCAAUGCAUUGUUAAAAAGCAAUUCCAAUUCAAACAAUACAGAAUUUUUUAAUUCAUCUUGUGGUAUGAUCAUAUCAGGAAUUGCAAAAGUUUUUUGCAAGCUGUACAAAAUGUCAUCAUACAUGUUUUGCCAAUGAGUAUCAAAAAGAGUUUGAGGAUCUACCACAUCACAAUAUAAAAUGAUUGUAACAAAUAAUUGUCUCAACUGAGGAGAUAACGCUACAUUUACAGCACUUGAUAAAGCCUCAAUCCAUUCUUUAUCAUCUCCUAACAAUCCCAAUGAUUGACAUGCAUCAUGAUAUGAAGGAUGUACAAUACCAUUAACAGUUUUGAGAUCAUUAAAGUUUAAUGUACCUUUUUUCAAGUUCAAAAGCAUUCGUAAAUAAUACAAUUCACCAAAUGUAGGAUGCACAUAUGCUAUUCUACCUAUUGAACCUUUUUGUUUUCUAGGUUUCCACAUUUUUUUUCCGUGUGUCAUAUAAGAAUUUUGAAGGGAAUUCUGCAUAAGUGAGUGACCGCACUUCACUAUAUAUUUUGUUAGUUUCAAACCAACUUGUUAACAUUGUAUGGUUAGAAGCGUUUUGUUUGAUAAUUGAAUGGAGUGAUUGAUCACCACUGAAAAUAAUGUUUUGUUCUAAUGGUAAAUGCACUGGUAAUCGCUCUAUAGAAGGUUCCCUAUGGUGUAUAGAAUAUUGAAACAAUCUCCAAACAGCUUCGUAAGACAAUAUGUAUCUACAGUUUAGAUAUGUUAAUAUUUCAUCAUUCGGAUCAUGUUGGAGAGCCAAUCGUGCUCUAUCUGAACCUUUGUUUACAUAUUUGAAUAAAUAUUUUAUAAGCAUGGAUUGACAACAGGAUUCAACAUUUAUAUAAGCAUUAUAUCUCAAAAGUAGUUCAGGAUUAUAAGGAACAACAAAACUGUUAUCAAUUUUUAUUCCAUUUUUUAUAACAAACUUUGUAUCAUCAUCCCGACGCCUAUAAAUUGGAAAACCAUUUUGUUCAAAAAUUGUUUCAUUUUUAUAAGGCUUAGGAAAGUUUUUGGAGCACUUAUUUUCCCGCAUGCAAGGAUAAUUUUUAUAUACAUGCCCACAUGGACCAUGAAUCAUAAAUUGAUUAACAAUCUCAUAAAGUCGAGGGUUAACAAAUUUGUCUGGCAAUUCUGCACAAAUAAUUGAAUCUAUAUCUGAUGGCACAUAGCAUUUGAAAUUUGAUUUCAACCAUAUUAACAUAUGAGAAUGAGGCAAACCUCUUUUUUGAAAUUCAAUUGUACAAACAUCUGUUUGAAAAAUCAAUUGAGACAAACAAAACCCCAAAAACAAAAAGUUAGCUUCUUGAAGAGAAAAAAAAAAACAAAUCGAGAUAAGCAAAGUAAUAAGUUUUUAGAACUCAGUUGCUUCAACUUGACCAAAAGGCUCUCCAGAUUUGAUGAAAUCAAACAUAUCAUCAAGUUUUAUUUUAAAUAUUCUAGAAAUUAUAUCAGGUCUGUCCUCAGGUUUGUAGCCUGGCUUUUUUUUUCAAAUUCUCUUAUAAUUUCUGGUCAUUUCACAUUACAGGUAAAUGUUAUAAACAAAUCAGGAUGUUCAUAUUCUCUACAAAUAGCCAUAACAUCUUGAUAAUUAUUAAUCAUAUAUCUAGGACUUCCUGUGUAUGAUGCUGGUAAAACAAUUUUUUGUCCCAAACUGUUUGCAUCGUUGUCACCUCUUGACACAGCAUCAUAAAUUCCUUUGUAAACCUCACUUCUUAAAUUUUUUGAUUUUGCCUUAUGUAAUCCAACUUAUCUUCUUCAAGUGUUGCAUAAGAAUCUACUAAAUAUUGUUGAAAAAGUCUACCUUCUUUCAACAAUGUAGUUAAGUAUGCAUCUCUUUCUUGAAUCUGAUAAGCUAUAUAAGUUCUCAUAGGUAUUCUUUGUCUUUUUGUUUUUGGACCGUUAUAAUUUUCAUUCCAUUUUAAAUCCGGCCUGUAACUAUCUUCACCAUAUGGAAAAAGAAUAGGGUGCUGAAGAGCCAUAAAUUUUGAAUUCAAUUUUGUAACACGAUUAGCUUCAAAUUUAUCUCUUACUGUUCGAAAAAGUUUAACCAAGUCAUUGCAUGAAUCAAACAUUUUAAUUAAACCUUCUACAAUUUUUGAAUCAAGUCUUUCAUUUGUUCCAUCAUUGUCAAAAGCUCUAAGACGAUUUUGUACUUCAUUAUAUGUAUCAUAAACAUAUAAUUGAGCAAAUUUUGAAGACUGAUUAUCAGGAGGUAAAAGAGAUCCCAUCAAAUGACAAACUUGACCACUAAUUUUGAAAAUGUAAGAGCUUGUUCCAUUAUUAAUUGAGUGAUCAACUUUGGCUCCCAUUGAAGUAAAUGAAAACAUAGAAUUGUAAGCUCUAAUAUUUUCUCGAAAUGAUAAACAUUUUUGUCCUCCAUUUGGAUCAAGCAAGGAAUCUAAAUAGGGUGGUGUUGGAUUUGGAGUUGGAAUCUUAAUUUUUCCUUGUUGACAACAAAGAGUAAAAAUGGGUUCAUUUUUUUUUGAGCUUUUUUUAGAGACUCAUUUAACCAAAAAUAAGCACCGCAAUACACACACUUAUAACUCUUAUCACCCAGAUCUAUAUAAUCCCUGACAACACCUACAAAAAAAUAUGUCCAAACCCGAAAAUAAUAGGACGUUAGCGUUAUACGCCAUUAACUAAACACUAAAAGUAAAAAGAAAUUUAAAAAAUUAUUAUAAGAAAUUAGGAACAUACCCCUUCUGUUGUUUUGAAAAAAGGCUUGCCCUUUACUCAUAAGAUUGUGAUUACGAUCACAAACUUUUUUCAACUACACUUCCAACAUCGUUGGAGACUAAGAAUUUUUUUUCCCUUUGUGUCACAACUGUCAAAGUUUUUUUCAAGCGUAGUCAUAUCCAAUAUGUUAUCAUUAUCAGAAUGUUCAACAACAGAAUCAUCAGCAAAAGAUCUGCUUGUACUGCAUUGAUAUUCACCCCGUGAAUAUUGACAAACUAACGCAUCAGUUUGAAAAAGAGAGGUGUUUUCAGAAUUUUGCAUAUAAGUGGUUGUAUAUAAUUCAUUAUCAAAAUGCUCAACAACAAAAUCAUCAGCAAGAGAUCUGCUUGUACUACACUGAUAUUCACCUCGUGAAUAUUGACAAACCAACGCAUCAGUUUCACAAAAAGAUGUGUUUUCAGAAUUUUGCAUAUAAGUGGUUCUACACAAUUUUUUUGGUUGCUGGUUAUGCUCAAGGAAAGGAUUAUAUCCAUUAUUGCCAAUGUUUUCUUUUUGUUGUAGACUAUCGUUUAUUCCAAUAUUUAAAGAUCUUUUAGACAUGAUGCAAACAAAUUUUUACAGCCAAUUCAAAAACAAACUGCUGCAAAGCACAAUUCGAACAAAAGAAAAAAUUAAUAAAGAUAUAACACAUAUACUAAAACUAGGGCUGGGCACGGGCCGGGCCGAGCCGGGCCGAACCUAAGUUUGUAGGAAUCUGACAUUACCCGAAACGGGCCGGGACGGGGCGGGGAUUGGAUUUUCUUGUAUAGGAACCGGACAUUACCCGGCCCAGUUAAAACGGGCCGGUUCGGGCCGGGUCCACGGGUACCCUCUUUUUUUUUUUUUAACUGCACUGCACAGUUUGAAAACUGCACAGAUUGCAAUUUGCAACUGCACAAUCACAGUGACACUGCAUUAGAAAGAAAUAACAGUACGAUUCAUGUGCAAGGCAUGAAGAGAUAACAGCAUGCCAAUAUAAAAUUUCCUCAAUUUUUUUUUAUCAGCCAGGUUUCUCUCCAAAGCAACAUCAGGUCCAUGCUCUGAUACAUGAAGCAUUGCUACCGUUGAACCAUAUCCAGAUUCUAAAUUCUUCAAAAGGCGAUGAGUAAUUUCCUCAGCUGAGAUAACGAGUGGUGCACUAACUAAUGAUUCAUAAAAUAUAGCAGAAGCUGUUUUUCCCAAUUGUUGGCUGACAUUAACAACACAUCUAAGCAUUUUAACGAGCACCUCUAAUUGAAGAAUUAAAACCCGCCUCCAUGGUAACAAGAUGGAUGAGAUCAUCAGAAGUACCUAUCAAAUAUGAAUGUGAGAAUUCCAAAAUAAAAGGGACAAGCAUUAAAAAUAAGAAAUAAUUGGUCCUAAAACAAAAAAAUGGAAAGGUUCAGCUAAAGCAACAAUACCUUAGAUACCAUUAAUAAGCCGCUCAAUAUUCUCCGAACAACGAAAAAGAGAUACUGAGUUCUUUCUGAUCAAUCCAAAACUACCCCUGUAGGAAUCCAAAAGCAACAUAAAUGAAUCAUACAUAAAUCAUUUAGAAAUGAAUCAUACAGAAAUCAUACAUAAAUCAUUUAGAAAUGAAUCAUACAGAAAUCAUACAGAAUUCAUUUUAAAAACAGAAAUCAUACAGAAAUCAUAAAGUCCACGGGUCACUUUACCACCAUCUGCAGCCACACAUACAGAAAUCAUAAAGUUCAGAGCUUUGCUGAAUCUAAACUUAAUUGAAUAAAAACCCAGCAAUAUACAACAUAUAAAUACAUAUAUAGAAUUUUAGAUGUUAAAUUUGGCAGUACCUGAAAUGAAAGUUGGCGAAGAAGAAGAAGCAGGAAGACCCAGAAAACGGAAGAGGAAAACAAUGGAAAAGCAGAAGCAGAAGCUUUGAUUAAACACCAUACUUUCUGGGUCUUCUCUGUCAUCACUACCAACCUUUUCGCCCUCUACACUCUUCUUCCAGCUACAACGACUUCAAAUCUAUCCCCGGAAACGCCGUGUUCACCCAAACCCGCCUCGAUUCUUCGUCGUGGGAGCCAAAGCGUUUCAAAUCCUCAUCCGGGUCUUCUCCCUCCGAAGUUCGAACUCCUCUUCAACCGUCACGCCGCCUCCUCUAUUCCACAACCACAACAACCAAUCUCCCUCCCCGCCACCGCCGAGUCAUCAUCAACCUGCCCAGCCCUCAUUGUCGACUCGCAGGAAAAUGGAGUCUGACUCGUCCACGGCCUCAUGGCCUGAGCGGAAGCCGUCCAGCAGAACAUCUUCAACCUCGCCAAAGCUCUGGUGAUCCAGAUCGGCUACCUGGCAGGUUCACAAGCAGGCGUCGGUGCUCAGGUAGGAGAGGAGAGAGAUGGAGUUCGAGAAGACGAUGGAGAUUGGAGUGAGUGACUGAAUCUGGAAGUGGAAACCUAGACACACGGGACAUCGACUAGGGUAGGAAUUAACGAUUAAGAUUAGAUGAUAGGGUAUCAUUUAAUCUGGACCGUUCAUUAUUAUUAUAAACGGGUCGGUUCGGGGCCCUGUUUUUCCAAGGAUUAGGACCCGCCCCGCCCCGUAUUUGACAACGCCCCGGCCCGGCCCGGCCCGUUUUUUUUCUACAAUAUUUGGAACCGGCCCGUACCCGCCCCGAACCUACAUUACCCGCCCCGACCCGCGGUUCCUCUACCCGUUUGCCCACCCCUAACUAAAACAACAUAGGAAUCUAAACAAAACCUCAAAACCAAAGUUUGAUUUAAACAAACAUAAACACAAUACAAUGGUUGACUUUGGUGAGAAAAAAGUAUAUAAAACUAUAUAAUGAAACUUUGAAUCAAAGUACAUUAGAAGUUUAAAUUACUUACUUGUAGCACAGAAUGUCCUCAAUGCCAAAAACAACACUUCAAGAGGUUAUAAAAGAGAAUUCCCUCAAGUUCUGUAAAAAGAAAAAAGAAAAAAACUACAUACCAUAAGUUCACAAAAUUUUAUCAGGCCUGAUAAAGAUAAUUUUAAAGCUUAAAAAUUUUACACCAAUGAUAAAUUUGAAAAGCAUAAUAACCAUAAAACCUUAAUUUUGGACACAUGCAUUAGUCAGCCUAGAAAAAAAAGGACCAAAAAAGUACAAUAAUUUAAAAACAGCAACCAACAUUUCACAGUAAGAAAAAAAGUGACACUAAAACAAAAUAAAAAACUAUUAAAUUCCAGACUAUAAACUUUAUAACCAAAGAAAUUAAAUGGAUUUAGUAUUAAAAUUGAUAGCACAAUUAAAUUUCAUUAUACCACCACAGUAACCGUCACAUAGCCAAUCAUAAUUAAAAGAACGACAAUUGUCAAAUAAAAAUUUUAAGCUAUAUAAAAUCAAAAAAUAAGAAAGCACGGAAGCAGGGAGCAAUACUCGCCAAAUUGAUUUUUUUUGUUUAAAAUGUAGACCCCAAACAAAGCCCCAAGUAAAAGACCCAGCCAUUUUCUCUGCCUUCUCUCAACUACCCUUCUUCUUCCAUUUCUCUGAGUUUUUUCAUUCUGCCUUCCCCUAAACCCCAAGUAAUUAACGAUAAUUUAUAACACUACAAAAUUAUUCCCAAUUCUCAACCUCACAUAAAAUUCAAAGCUCGAAAAUAAAAGAGUCUGAAAGAAUGAAUCUGAGAAGGGUAAAAUGUGGAAAAAUACCUAGAUAUUUUGUUGGAGGAGGAAAGGAGCCCAAGCAGCUGAAUGACUGUGCUCACGGUGAUUCUCAAACUCCGCACAGUUUGUCUCUUGCAAUUUUUUUCAAGAUCUUGCUGCUUUCUUUGAAAGUUUGGAAAGCUUUUUAUGUUCGUAUACUAUUAAAAAGAAAACACAUGUUAGUAAAAAGAAAAUAUCAUUGACAACUGCAUAGAUUAUUUCAAUUGUGCCUACUAUAAUCAAUUAGAGAGAGAACGAACAUGAAGUAAUCCAUACAUUUUCAAUGUGAAAUAUAUAUAUUUACAAAGCUCUAUUACUGAGAAAGACCAACACCCUCUUUUUUUUUGCACCAUGAUCAGUUUUAAUGUUCACAUUUAUAAAUAUCACAGCUUUUAGUUCCAAUUUUUCUCUCUCUGCCUAUUUCAAUUUAAAUUCUUUUUUCACUUGGUUCAAAUGAUAGAAACUUACUAAAACACACAAAGUUUAAUUUAACUUUAAACAAUGUUAUCCAAUGAAUUACAUUAACCUCAAUCAAUUUACAGCCUUCUCAGUGCAUGAGGAAUGAAAAGCGGAAAGGGACCUUCUUGAAUUAACAAAAAUAAGUACCAUUUUACAUUAGUUGAAGGUAAUAUAAAUUUGUUAACAAAAAAUACAAACAUAAAAGUACAAAAAAAAAGACAAAAGACAGCCAUUAGUUGAGGAGAAACCAUUGUCAUCUUCAAUCAACGACAAACAGUUGCUAUCUCCUCGAAUUAACGAAGAUAACCAUCAUUUUUCAUUAGUUGAAGGUAAUAUAAAAAGAGAUUAUACAUGUGCAGUUUUAAUAUGCACAAAUCCUAUGCAAUCAACCAAAUUGCUCGUGUCUUCUCAGGCAGGAAAAUACAAUGGAACGAUCAGGAGGUUUCCAUGGCUAUCAAAGACCAUGACUACCCCAAACACAACCUCUGCUUCUGGUAAAACUAUUCUUCCUUAAUUUUCUUAAUAAUUAACUUACCUAUGUAUAAUUUCACAUUUCUUACAAAUAUAUAUAGACACACUCUUCUUGAUAUACAUAUGUGUGUGUGGUACCAUUUUUAUAUAUCUAUUGCAUGUAUUAGAUGUAUGUAUCUUGGUUAAUUCAGAGCCUUGCUGUCCGUUUGUCUUUCUCAAAUGCAUAUAUUUUCGAACAUAUCCAGGCAAACACAAAAUUCAAAACUAAAUUCAUAGUCAAAACAUUUAAAGGCAAAUGACAUUGAUAAUAUCAACCCAAAUCAGCAAAGAAAAGUAAUAUUGGGAAAUAUCCACCACUACCUCAGACGGAAGCUCGUUUUCAAUAAUCCUUUGGUUGUUUAUAAACCCUUUGAUGGGCACACAGAUGCCACGCACAGUCUCAAGGUUGAUACGACCAUAACGCUAAAAUUUCCUACAGAGAUAAAAAGAAAUCAACAAAAUUUAGCCAACUCUAAAUUCAGCAGAGGAAAACAAAAAAAACCUUAAAACAACAGAAAAACCAACAUCCAGACACAAAAAUAAUGGGUUAAAGCAACGAAAUCCAUCUGUAAAAGAGUUUUACAAAUUUUAACAACAACUUCCCCAAAAAGGAAAAAUAAAUCAGAAAAAGGUAAAUUAAUUUACCUGAAAGUUCAAAUCUUUUGGGGUUUUGGCUUCAGUUUAAAUACCAGAGAGAUGAAACCCAAAAGAAAAAUUACUCCCAAUUUUUUCAAAAUCCCAACAGCUCCGAUCCUGCGAGAGAGAGCUCGAGAAGAUGGAGCAAAGACUGAGAGAAUCAGGACGGGAAACAGGCCAAAUUAGCAUAAAAUUAUCGGGAAAAUUAAACAAUAAUGACUUGCCUGGUAAAACAAAAGGUUUUAAAGAGGUCGUGGAAACCCUACCAAAUUUGAUGUGGGUAUUGGAAGAGAGAAUCUGACUGUGAUUGGUUUCAGAUCAGAGGAAGAAGAAGAGAGGAACCUUCGAGAAAGAAAGAGAGAGAGAGAGAGAGAGCUGCUUCGGCUUUUGCAUCCUCCUUCCCAUUACGCGAUAUUCAACACGCGCACAACACGGGUAAAAUUGUCAUUUCACUGUGCAAUACAGAAAAUUGACGUUGAGAAUCAGCAGCAGCGAAGGGCAUUACCGCCAUUUCACUGUUCAUGAACAGUUAAAAACAGUGCCAACAAAACCGAGUUUUAGUAUAUAGAUAAUUUUCCAACCUAUUAUUCUGGGUAAAUUACAUAAUAACCCUAUAGGUUUGACAUCUAUUACAACCUUAUACAAUAUCUUUAAAACAUUUCACUUUCAUACCUCACGUACUAUUUUAUUUCAAAAUAAUAACUCUGUUACAUUUUCCAUUUAUUAAUUCAUUAAGUGCUAACGUGGCUGACACAUUUGUGCCACGUGGCUACCAAAUGUGUGCCACGUGGCCUUUUUUUAUUUUAAUUUUUUUAAAAAAAACCUGAAUCAUCUAAAUAAAUUUAAAUAAAUUAAAAAAAACUUAGAAAAUGCAGAACCCACCCCCGCAACCUCUCCCCACCCCUAUUCUCCCUCUCAAGCUUCCCAACCACCUCCCUCUCCUCCACUCUCUUCACCUCUCCUCCCAUCCAAAAACCCACCCCACCCCUACCUUCCCCAAGCCCUUUUCUCCUUUUCACCCCCACCCCCUUUCCCACUGCACCCCGCACCCACCCUCCACACCCAUCCUCUUCCCUCCUCUACAUACCCCACUCCUUAAAUCCACACCCAUUCCUCCCGGCGUAGACGAGAUCUGGGUUUGGAGAAGAGAAUGGAGGAGGAGGGAGGAAGACGAACUGAAGGGGUUUUUUAUGUUUUUUUUAAUUCUGGGUUGCAGGGGAAAGAAGAUGAAGAUGGGGAUAAGAGAUGAGGAGGAGGAGGAGGAGGGGGAGAGACGAACUGAAGGGCUCCUUCUUUUUUUUUCCUGGGUUGCAGGGGGAAGAAUAUAAAAGAGAGGAGGAGGAGGGGGAGGGAGGUUCGUCUGCGUGGGUCGUGGGGGGAUAAGGUUUCUGGGUUUGGGGGUUGCGGGGAGGUGUGCUUCAGGUUUAGGGAGGUGAAGAGAGUGAAGGAGAGGGAGGUGGUUGGGAGAGAGAAGAGGGGUGGGGAGAGGUUGCGGGGGUCGGUUCUGCAUUUUCUAAGUUUAUUUUUUAUUUUUUAUAAUUUAUUUAGAAGAUUCAGGUUUUUUUUUUUUAAAUUAAAUUUUUUUUGCCAUGUGGCACACAUUUGGCAGCCACGUCAGCGUUUAACGGAUCAAUGGAUUGAAAAUGUAAUGGAGGUAUUAAUGGUAUAUCAAUGGACUUCUUGCCGAGUAUGCAAAGCCAUUGGACAAAGAAUUCCAUUCUCCUAGAGAUGCACAUGGACAUGGUACUCAUACUUUAAGCACUGUAGCUGGUUCUUUUGUGGCUAACAUUAGCUACAAGGGCCUUGGUCUUGGUACAAUUAGAGGUGGUGCUCCAAAUGUUCGGUUGGCCAUUUACAAGGUUUGUUGGAAUGUGCUUGGAGGCAAAUGCUCAACAGCUGAUAUGUUGAAAGCUUUUGACGAAGCAAUACACGAUGGGGUUGAUGUGUUGUCAUUAUCACUUGUGAAUUAUGUUCCCCUCUUCUCAGAUGUUGAUGAGCGUGAUGGCAUUGCAACUGGUUCGUUUCAUGCUGUGGCUAAAGGGAUUACUGUUAUGUGCGCAACUAGAAAUAAUGGAUCUUCAGCACAUGUAAUGAAGACUUUCCAUGCUUUAUAUCCAUGCUUUAUAUCCAUGUAAUGAAGACUUUCCAUGCAUUGAAGUUGACUAUGGGAUUGGCACUCGAAUUCUAUUUAUAUCCGGUCUACCAAGUACGUAACUUUAAACUUUAUUGUAAAAUGUGUGAUUAGUACUGCUAGGUUUGUUUGUAAUCCUCAAAAUUUGUUUGGAAUGCACAUAUAUCCUCUUGUAAAGUUGAGCCCUCCUAAAAUGAUUGUGGGCAAACCACUAUCUGCAAAGGUGGCUUAUUUUUCCUCUAGGGGGCCAAACUCCAUUACACCAACAAGUCUCAAGGUAUCUACUCUAAAUUAAUGCUGAUGUUCGAUGUAUAACGGGUUGGGCGACUGUAGUUUUCAUGUUGACAUCAACUUUUGAAAAUUUGUAACUCUCAACAGUUCAAUAAACUGAAACUUUUUUCAAGGGAUCAUCUCUUGCAUGUUUUCUCCUGGAAAAGUUAACAAGUUUUAGGUAGAGACAAGUUGGUGUCAUUCGAGAUUCACUUUAAAGUCUUAAACUGUUGAGACUCUUCUUAUAACACUUUUUUUAUUGUUGUAUCUUUGUCGGACAGCCAAAUAUAGCCGCGCCUGGUGUGAACAUACUAGCAGCAACUUCUCCAUUUUAUUCAUUCACGGAGGGUGGAUAUGCCAUGAUGUCUGGAACAUCAAUGUCAACUUCUCAUGUCACAGGCAUUGUGGCACUUAUCAAGAGAAUGCAUCCUAAUUGGUCUCCAGCAGCCAUCAAGUCAGCAAUAAUCACAACUGGUAAUCACAUUAUAUGAUAUGUUCCUAAUUUCAAUAAGAUAUAUGUGAAACCUAACAGUUUUAUGAAUUUAAAUGAAGCAUGGAGGAACGGCCCAUCUGGUUUACCGAUAUUUGCUGAAGGAUCUCAUCAAAAGUUGGCAAAUUCAUUUGACUUCGGAGGUGGUCUGGUGAAUCCCAAUGGCGCAGCAGAGCCUGGACUAGUAUACGAUAUGGGCGCAGCCGACUACAUGGAAUAUCUUUGUGCAAGGGGGCACAACAACUCUGCCAUCUCUCGGCUUAUAGGGAAAAUCACAACGUGUCCCGUGAAGAAGCCCUUUAUCCUUGACGUUAACCUACCUUCCGUGACCAUACUUGUGGAUGCAAAUUUAUUCCUCCUUGAUCUUGGACAAGAUUACACCUACAAAACAAUUAACAUCUUUGGUUAAGGCCAAAAGCCUUACGCGCCCACAAUGAAUGGGGGGGCUUUGGCUAAUAUGAUAUGACCGCCGCUUGCCCUUUACCAUUAUGUCGUCGACAUAGACCUCCAUGGUUACCCCAAUUUUCUUUUUGAACGUUAUAUUUACUAACCUUUGCUAAGUGGCUCCAACGUUCUUGAGGCCAAAAAGGUAUGACCUUGUAGCAAUAAGUGCCCCGCUCGAUCACGAACACGAUUUUCUCUUUGUCGGGCUUAUGCAUGGCUAUUUGGUUGUAAUCGGAGUAUGCGUCUAAGAAGCUAAGCAGCUGGUUCCCAGAAGUUGAAUCUAUUAUCAGAUCGAUCUAAGGGACAUGAUAAGGAUCUUUUGGGCAUGCUUUGUUGAGGUCGGUGUAGUCUAUGCAAACCCUUCAUUUGCGCUUAUCUUUCUUCAUGACUAGUACAACAUUGGCAAGCCAUACCGAGUGUACUACCUCUUCUAUGAAUCCGGCCUCCAAUAGCUUGUCAAUUUCCACCUCAAUGAUCGUUACUCGUUCGGGUGCGAAAUGUCUUCUUUUUUGGAUCACCGAUUUGGCAGUGGGGUCGACGUGCAGCUUAUGGCAGGCCACAUCCGAGUCAAUGCAGGGCAUGUCGGAUGGUGACCAUGCGAAAACGUCUCGAUUUUCUCUAAAGAAAGUCGUGAGUUCUUCCUUCUCGGUUGGGCUUAGUCGUGAGCCAAUUUUAGCCGUCUUUUCUGACUGCUGGGGAUCCAGAAUGAUGUCUUCGGUGUCUUCUUCGGGUUUCCAUCCUAUCUAGUCUGCUUGGGCACCAUCUUCUCGAUCCUUCUGCUGUAAUUGCUAUUUGGGAACCUCUCCGUCCCUUUGGACUUCAGUAGCUUCUACGGGGGUAAAGGUUUUUUUUUUAAUUCUUUCAACAUUUGCACAGUGCAUUAUCGGGAUGUGGCCUGGUCAGACUUGACCUUUCCGAUUUCUCCUCCCGGGAUGGGAAAUCAGAUUUUUUUGACACUUGACGGAAGUGACUGUGUCCAGCUUAAUCAACCAAGGUAUCCCAAGAAUCCCAUUGUAAGGAGACUGGUCACUUAUGAUCAUGAAUGUCUGCUUAGAAACAACUGGCUAUGUUUUCACGUUAAGUGUGAUGUGACCGAUAACAGUUGAGGUGUGUUCGUUGAAUUUGGUGAGUACCUUUGCUCGGCUUAUGAUUAUGCUUUCUAGGCCCAUCUUCUAAAUGACUGAGAGUUGAAGCAGAUUGACUGCACUUCCAUUGUCAACCAUCAUCCUGUCAACUAUAGCAUAGGCUAAUUAGACAGAUACUACUAGUGCGUCAUCAUGGGGGAAAUCGACGCCUUCUGCAUCCCAUUCAAUGAAGCUGAUAAUGGGUCCAAGUUGGGUAUCAACUGUUUGGAUUUGCGAGAUUAGUAAAGCCUGCUGGAUCUUCCUCUUUUUGGAGUUAUUAGUGGCCCUCAAGUGUUCGGAUUCGGCGAAGAUGUCAUUGAUUCGAAUCGUCUUGGUUGGCGGCUCCUUAUCAUCGUCUGCAUUCCUUCUUGGUUGCGCAGCUGGCUUGUCCAAGUAUCUAUCGACCUUGCCUUCUUUCAUGAGUUUAUCUAGAUAGUUCUUCCAAGUGUAGCAGUCGUCGGUUGUGUGACCAGGACCUUGGUGGAAUGAGCAAUACUUGGUGUGGUCCAACUUGGAAGUAUCUCAUUUUGAUUGUUUCGGCAGCUUGAACUAUGGCUCGUUCUUGAUGUCACAAAUGAUUUGAUGGAUCAGAAUUGAGAACUUAGAAUAGUUCUUGGUUAUUGGGCCUUUUUUUGUCGUGGGUCGGUCCCUACGUUUGGCCUCCUAUCUGCUCUUGUUGGGCUGCUUCCUGUCUUCCUUCCUUUGAGCCGCUGCCAACUCUUUUCGAGGCUACUCGGGCACUUUUUCUGCUCGUCUAGCCUCGUCCUAAAGUGCAUGCUUCUCUAUCCUGCUAGAGUUAGGUUUUCUUUCAUGAUCAUUUCUCCGAACAGUGAAUGGUUUGUUAGGAGUCCUUUUUGGAAGGCUGCAAUUACUAUUGAGUCGUCACAUCCGACGAUCUCUGCCUUCUCUUAUUUGAACCUCUUUACGUAGUCGCGAAGCGACUCAUUUGGGUUUUUCUUCACGUUGAACAAGUUAUCAGACUUUUUCUUGAUCGAGCGAUAUGAUGAGUAUUCUUUGCGCAUCGUUGUUUCGAUAAAGGACCAUCGCACUUCGGUAGUGCUUCAAGAGCCUUUCUGGAUCUCCAUCUCUUUUGAAAGAUGUGAAGUGUGACAUGCUAAACUUGCAUGAAGGCUCUGCUUGCUCAAUCUCAUUCGUGAAGGGUGAUCUACUUAUAUUGGUCAUGUCCCGCCGUAGUACCUCAUCGGCCGCUUCGUUGUGUUGAAAAUCACGCAAUCGUUUAUUGAAGAGUCUCUUUAGCUCUUCUUGGAUUUGCCUUUGCUGAGGUAGCAGAGCUCUUGACUACCCCCGAUCUUGACCUACUGAUCUAGGUUGCUCUUCCAUGUUCUUGGUUUGUUCACACCGAGGCGGCGGUGCAUGUGGCCCAUCCCUAGCAGGCAAGGGAAUUCUUUGCAGGCUACCGGUUGAACUUGAUUCGGAUUGAGUGACUGCUUCUCUUCGUUCAUCAUGUUGUCUGCUCCGAUGUGAUGUGGAGAAUGCUCAUUGCGGACUUAACCGCAAAUGCAUAUUUUGCCUUACUCAUGUUGAUUAUCGGAGCGUGGCCCCAACUGUGAAUGUAUACUUGCCCGUGAGCCUAAUCGAGAGUGCACACUCCUCCAAGUGCUAAGACUGGAGUAUGCUCUAUCUCAAUGACCUAAUCGGGAGUGUACAUUACCCGAAUGCUCGAUUUGUGGUUGGUUGAGUGACUGCUUAAUAGGGUGCUGCUAGAGAGGUUCCUCGUCUACCCUUAUCUUACUUUUGGACACCUCGUCUGGGGCACGUUGUAUCUCGGUGCGUUACAAAAGUUGAUUCACCAAGGUUGUCUAUUAUGCCAGGGCGCUCGCCAACUCCAUGACUUAUCGGGACAAGUGCUAUUCACCGUUCGGAUUGGAAGAGCUUAGAAGGAAUAUGCCUCUUUAAGCAGUGGAAUAGUGGUAGGCUCUAAGCGCGAUAUUUGAGUUAGGAAAUGUCAAAUCCGCCGAGAAAUGUGGUGAAAAUACCCCCGGUUCGAUGAUUGGUCCUAAUGGUUGGGAUAGUCUCGAACCGACUUGGGCUGCUUGGGAAACCACAUAAGCAGGUUGGGUUGCAGGAGCAAGUUGGGCCACGAGAGUGGGCUGCUCAGUGCAUGAUGCACGCGAAUGCGAGGCUUGGGAUCGGCUUGGCAACGCAUUGAGCUCGCGGUGGGCUUGGAGUGACAUGGCUUGGGUCAUGGCCUUAGUGUCAUGGGCCUUGGAUGGCAAGGCUUGGGAUUGUUUUGGUGGCACGGCUCGGGCCCUGGUAGUGGUGCCAUGGACCUCACCGCGGGUGGCUAUCACCGCGGUGGUUCCCGUGGUGGAAACUCGUGGUGGUGGUGCCAAUCCACCUAUUGUCACAUUUAGCCUCGUGGAUUGCCGCAGUCCCAUCUCUUAAAUAUUGGAAUUUUCACUUGUUGAAUUUUCUAAGUUUCUAGCGAUUGCUCUUCUCUUUUACGUUUUAUCAAAGAAUUUUUGCAAAUAAAAAAUUCUAAUAAUAAAAACGUACGAAAAACUACAAGUGGACUAGAAAAUAGAGAAAAAAAACCUUUUUAUGCGAGAGUCUUGUACGAGUGUGUGACUCUUUUCUCAAUGAAAGCACCAAUUUGUGGAUGCAAAUUUCUUCCUCCUUGAUCUUGGACAAGAUUGUACGAGUGUGUGACUCUUCUCUCAAUGAAAGCACCAAUUUGUGGAUGCAAAUUUCUUCCUCCUUGAUCUUGGACAAGAUUGCACCUACAAAAUAAUUAACACCUUUGGUUAAGGCCAAAAGCCUCACACGCCCACGAUGAAUGAGGGGGGGGCUUUGGCCGAAGAACCUCCGAUGCCAAAGUUAGAAUUUAGAGAGAAAAGUGUUUAGAGAGUUUUUGGAGUUUUGCAAUAGUGUCGACUAAGGUUUUUAGAGAAAAUGGGGUUUAAUAUAUAGAGUAUGGCUGGUCCCCUUUGGAGAAAAGGUGGCCGGCCUUUGGGAUGUUUUUUGGGUGUAUUUUGUGGUUUAAUGUGUGAUUUAUUUGGCAAUUAAUUGAUUAAGUAGGCAAUUAAUCCAUUGAUUAGCCAAUUAACACAUUUUUGGAAAUAAAGUUUUGGAGGUUAUUGAAUGAAUAAAAUAAAUAGCUAAUUGAUUAGCUAAAAAAAGGUAAAAUGAGGUAAAAUAUAUAUGGAAUGAAAUAGGUUUUGGGAGUUACCUUGUAGAAGGGAUUUGAUGAGAUAGGUUUUGAAUUGUUACCUAUUUUGGGCACUUUUAAUUUAGUUGAAUGAUGAUUGCCCGCUGCUUGCGCGUAGGCCUGUAAAUGGGUCGGGUUUAUUGGGUUUGGGUCGGGUUUAACCCGACCCGUUAAGCUAAUGAGUCUUAACGGGUCACCCAUUUCACCCGUUACUGUUUUUUUAUUUUAUUUUAUUUUAUUUUUUACUCAUUUCAUCCAGUCAAUGUGUUUUCCUCACAUUACUUCAACUAUCACAAAUUCAAUAUCAGUUAAAAAAAAUAUUACUAAAUAAAUAACUGCUACAAGGAAAGUCAACUCAUGUGUGCAAAACUUAUUUUGAGUAUAUGUUACUAUAUUUUACCACCACACACUAAAAACAAGGGGUUCCCUAAUGCCGAGUACUAAACACAUAUAAGCAAAAGGCAUUUUAACAAACAACUCCUCUGUGAUCAUACAGAAUCUGGACUUCUGCAAAACUCAAAUAGAAGAAGCACUGCAUUUUAACUAUUAGAUUAUGGGUCCAUUCCAAACCGACCAACUGGAGAACAAGUGCAUGGCACGGUAAAUACUUACAUGACUGGGAGGGAUGUGUUUUCCUCACCCAUACAAAGUACGUGCAGCAAUCAUUUACAGCGUAUUCAUCAAAGGUCAGAUGAGGAUUGAACUCACAACAAACAACUUAGAGGCCUCAUAAUUCUAUCUUGAUUACAAGUACACUCCCAUUGAUAAGUUCCUUGAUAUUUGCUUGGUUGAUCCUCCCAAGCCAAAAUUAGCAGCAUUCUAAUUAGCAAACUUGGUAGAUCCUACAAUGUACUUUGCUGCCAUUUUCCAACUACAAUAAUAAAGAACACAACAAUAAGAAAAAUGGAGAAAUGUUGAACGAGAAUAGCCAUUUUCCAACUACACUUCACUCAUCACCUAUAUAGCCUUUAACACAUUGUGCCUUAGCUUAACAAGAUAGUAUUACAUGCAGAUUACGUAGAAAAAUGUCUUUAAAAGAACAAGUUAAAAAACAUACCAUACUUAAUCAAGACUAAUACUACUAGAGCAUUGUCCCGAGUUUUCGUUAAGGCUCAUGUCAAAAAUUUCUUCAGUAAGUUCUUCCAAGUCAGCACCCUCUUUCUCUAAAGCUAAACAUAAAAAGAAAAAAGGAAAAACAAUUAUAACCUAUUAUCUAAGCAAAAAAACAAAAAAAAAAAAAUACAAAGAAAUAUGAAAUUUACCUUAUUUGCCAAAAAGCCAAUCUCUAGUACAUAGCAAGACUUGAACGGUUUCAGGCAACAAAGAACUUCGAUAUUGAUCAAGCACCCUACCACUAAUACUAAAUGUUGAUUCCGAGGCAACAGUUGAGAUAGGAAUUGUUAACACAUCAGAAGCCAUAGAGAAAGUACGGGAUAACGAAAUUGCUCCAGUUUCCACCAUGAAAGAAUAUUCAACUCUUGUUUUCUAUCGAGUCUCUUUCCUUCAAGAUAUAGAUGUAAUUUAGUUUUUUCAACUGAAGUUGACCCAUCUUGAUAAAUAUUAUCAAAUUCCUACAUAUAAAAACAAAAUAGAAACAAAAUAGAAACAAAGAUCAACGUACAAUAUAAAUAUGCAUAUAAAAAGUAUAAAAAGUAUAAAAAGAGGAAUAACAAAUAUAAAUACUACCUCAAAGGGUUUGUCUCCAACUUUUAUUUGAGUAGGAGUUUGAUUAACUGGGUUGGAUACAAGAAGAUGAGAGAACUUAUCCAUGUAACUACCAAAGAGUGCAAACAAUGUGUCACUAUCAUCCUUCAACUCUCUCGACUCCUUACCAUAAAGCUUGUCAUAACCCCACUCUACAAAUUGCAAUUUAUAGCGAGGAUCAAGAAUCACUGCAAUGACAAGGAUCAAACUAUACUCUGACCAAUACUUUUCAAACUUCAAAUUCAUAUAACUCCCCAUCCGUCUCAUGAAAUCAUCACAAUCUUCCAUAGCAUCUUAAAUACAAUAAUGGACUUUGAACACUUUUGGGAAGAACAAGUUUGAUGUAGGGUAAUUUGUUCCGGAAAAUAAGCAAGUAACUUCAUAAAAAUACCCCAAGAAAUUGAAAAUCUUCUCUAUUUUAUCCCACUCUUCCAAGGAAGGAUAUGAACUAAAAUUAGAAUCAACAAGUGCCAAAUUGAAAAAAGCACGACGAUAGAAAUGGCACUAUCAAGCAUUGUAUAUGUCGAAUACCAUCUAGUAGGCACAUCUUGUCUCAACCCUCUUUUACUACCUGCCAACCCUACUUGUGCAACGCAAGUAAAAAACUUAUUUUUUCUCCCUUCUGAACACUUUAUAUAUUUGAUGCACUCACGAACUUUCGUCACUGAUCCAUCAAUUUCUUUUAGUCCAUCUUGGACUAUCAAGUUUAGAAUGUGAGCACAACAACAAACAUGGAAGAACUUUCCAUCCAUUAAUAGCGAACCUCUAAAAUUUAAUUGUUUCUUCAAUAACUCAACAGAACAAUCAUUUGCAGAUGCAUUAUCCAAAGUAAUGGAAAACAGUUUCUUUUCAAUCCCCCAUUCAACUAAUAAGGUGUUAAUUUUUUCAGACAAAGCAACCCCGGUAUGUGGAGGAGGCAUACAACAAAAAUUUAAAAUUCUUUUGUGCAUUUUCCUUUCUUUGUCAACAAAGUGAGCUGUGAGUGAGAUAUCCAUCAGUUGUAGCAGAAGACCAUAGGUCAGAUGUCAAACAAAUUCUUCCCUCAACUGUAUUUAACCAAUCUCGAAGUCUUAUCUUUUCAUCUUCAAACAUCCUCAACACAUGUUUCUUAACUGUAUUUCUACAGGGCAGUUUGAUAUCAAGAGAUAUGUAUUUAAACAAAGUUCUAAUGCCCUCAUAUUCAACAAACCUAAAAGGCAAAUCAUGCUUAACUAUAGCCUAAAUCAAUAGCUCACAAAAACUAAUAUGGUUAAACUGAGGAGAACGCAAUUCAACUUGAGAUUUUUUCAUAUCAAUGUGAUGUUUUUUACUACACGUAUCCAUAUGAUUCAAUAGGUUUUUCGUCCCACAAUUACUAUCACAUACGUAAACUAUCCCACAGUUUUUACACUUCGCAUGUUGUUUAUUAUCAGGACCAACAGGCAAUUCUUCAAACAAAGUCCAAACACGGGAUCUCUUUUGACGUAUCUUACCUACUCGUAUACCUUUAGCCUUUCUUUUUGAAGGACUUGGUGCACUUAUUGUACCUUGCGUAUCACUUAGAUUGAAUGUUGACAUUUCCAUAGCCUUGAUGUUCUCUUCAUCAAUAUCCAUCUGCACUAACCAUAAAUGAAAAGACGUGAAUGGAAGAUGCAGUUUAAUUUCUACAAAACAUUUAUGUCUGACACACGCUUAACAUUCAAUAGCAUCAACUGCAACCACUUUAUCUCUCUUUUUACCAAUGUGCAUGACAUUAGCAGCAAAUAUUCAAUCUGUAUAUUAAGAAUUCUGACCAUAUCAUGUAUCUGCUUGGAAAGGAAGCCAAUACAUUGAUCAUUUAAAGCUUACUUUUUUAACAUGAAAGCCAUAAGAAUCACCAUACACCUUGUGAUUGACAUGUAAUGAUAGGAAUCAUCGUUGAAACAUCACAUAAGGCAAACAAAACUGGUUUGAUGAGAUGACCCCUCCCUCAUAUUUAUGUCUGACACACGCUUAACAUUCAAUAGCAUCAACUGCAACCACUUUAUCUCUCUUUUUACCAAUGUGCAUGACAUUAGCAACAAAUAUUCAAUCUGUAUAUUAAGAAUUCUGACCAUAUCCUGUAUCUGCUUGGAAAGAAAGUCAAUACAUUGGUCAUUUAAAGCUUACUUUUCUAACAUGAAAACCAUAAGAAUCACCAUACACCUUGUGAUUGACAUGUAAUGACCCCUCCCUCAUAUUUGAUGUUCGCGCCAACAAACUCUAGAUUAAAUUUUAAUAAGAGAUCAGAAAUGCUAAACAUUUGGAGUCUCGAAACAUCUUCUAUCUCCAACCAAUUUAAUCCCAUAGCAAAAAAAAUUCGUCUUCUUAGCAGUGCCUAGGUGACUAUAUUACUAAGCAAAUAGUCCUUCGUUAAACAUAAUCGGUUCUCUAAAAUUUAUCGAUGAAAGGAAAAAUAUAUAUAUUCACUAAGAGUGAGUGAACAAAGUAUGUGUGAAAACCUUCCAUGCUCCUAAUCUUCCUAGAUUCCUACUCUCGUUGUAUUACUCUCUUGGUUAUAUUUCUAUUACAUAUUCAUAUGCACAAACAGGCAGGGAAACAAUAUCCCUCUUAAAUCUUAUUGACACUUGACUUCCAAACUCAACAUUGAAAAGAACUCCUUAAAUUACAUUUCAAUCUAAACAGGAACCCAAAUAUUAGAUAUGGACAUUAGCUCAAAUAUUAUAUUAGUUUGGGUUCCAGAAAAUAAGCAAAUAUUAGCUCAAAUAUUUGGCCUGUUUAAAAGUGAAGUGCUUUUGUUUAGUAUUCGUAAGUGAUCAAGGCCACCAGUGGUGGUUUUUCUGAUAAAAUGCAAAAACAACAGCAUCCUAUCUCAACUGUUGGAUUUACCCAAAAAAUGUGGAGACCUAAUCAAUGCAAAAGCAGAGACCUAAUCAAUCCAAGAAAGUCCUGCGAUUUACCCAAAAAUGCAGAGACCUAAUCAAUGCAAAAGCAACAGACAUAAUGCAAAAACAACAACCCAAUUCCAAUUCAAAAACCUACCAAAACAUAGCAAACUCAAUACUUUUAAUUUCAUGGGGGUGAAAUAACAACUCCAAUUUACCCAAAAAUGGAAAUUUUAAUUGGAGAAUAUACAAAUGAACAAAUUUUACACAAAACCCAUGAACAAAAAGCAAAACCCAAUAUCCAAAACACAACCAAAAAAAAAAAAAACCCGAAAAGGGUCGAAUCUAAUCUGCAGAGACCACCUAAAAUCAAGCUCAAGUAAAAUCUGAGAAAAAAUAGAUGAAUCUAAUCUGCAAAAACGAAAAGUAAUCGAAAUGAAAGAAAAGGUGGAAGGGAAUUGGAGCUUACCAAAGAGAGAGUGGUGGAGUUCAGUAAAAAUUUUGAGGGAAGAAGAUGAGGGAGAUAACCGGAGCACAGCGAUCUCUCAGUCUCAGAGAGCUAACGAAUGGUGUGCGAGGCAACGACUAGCAACUAGCAAGAGAGCUAGGAACCUGAGGGUUUUGUAAACUAUUGAAAUUACACUUAAGUCCUUACUAACGGGUGUUAAUGGGUGGUUAACGGGUUUCACGGGUUCACCCAAAUUGACUCGUUAUUUAACGAGUGAUUAAUGGGUUGACCCGUUAACCACCCGACCUGUUUAUCACCCACCCGAAUACUAAUUUUAACGGGUUGGGUCGGGUCGGGUUAACGGGUUGGGUUGAAAAUGCCAGCCCUACUCGCGCGUAGGAAUCCCGUUGUACCUCAAGGGUAUUUUUGUCCUCUUUUGUCCAAAGAUUCACGUAUCGCAUUGUGAUUAUUUUUGUUUCCACAAUACCUAGUCCGAGAAAUCCCAUCACAGUAAAAAGGACUGUAACAAAUGUUGGAGCCCCUGAGUCCAUUUACAAAGCUACCAUUGAACCUCCAUUCGGUACAAUUGUAUAUGUGAACCCUACUGCUCUGGCCUUCAAUUCCACAGUUGAAAAACUCACUUUCACAAUCACAAUCUCCGCAAUCCACGAGAUGAACACUGGUUACUAUUUUGGAAGCCUUACUUGGGUUGACGGAGUGCAUGCCGUGAGGAUCUCUUUGUCCGUGAAAACUGAGUUCUUACAACCUCAUGAUGAUGAUGAAGACUAAAUUGAAUACUGAAAUAAAUUUGUGCAUUUUAGUAAUGAAAAAUAUCCGAUAACUAUAACAUUAUCAUUCCAUAUGUACUAAAAAUAAGAUACCAAUGAUCUCACACCCGAAAACACAAGAAACAAAAAGAGGGAAAAUAAGUAGUGGAUCGUAUGUGUUUUCUUGUAUCACCAGAGGGACAAAGGAGAAAGAACUUGUUGACUGAAUCUCAAUGUCCAUUAUUUUCGCUAGGAAAUUAUGGAGGAAAGCAAUUUAUAAUUUAAUUGUUUAGUUUUUCGUUUUAAUUUCUUUUUUGUAUUAGCAGGUGACAAGUGUUGAGUUGGGUCAUAGUUUCAUACAACAUGGUCACCAUUGAAGAUCAAAGCAGGUGGUAUUCGUAUCACUUCAUAUUUCUGAUCAAUACUUGGAUGAUAUAAAAUUAAAUGUGAGAAAUCAUAACCUUUCAUUUCGCCAUAUAUAUAAUUAUAUGGGUAAACAAAUCUCCAUAAUAAAAAUGUUCUGGUUCUCUCUCUUUUUUAAAAUCACUAAAGCUUUUGGGCAUAAUAAAACUCUUAAAUACCAAUCCUUGUUUCAAAUAAAUGAAAAAUGAAUGAUCGAAGUCCGUUGUAUUUUUUCCCUUCAGCUAUUUCUUGGAAAGGUUCUUUGUAGGGUUUGGUGUCUUUCUGUGCAGUGCAUAAAUUUUGUAAGUAUAUUGUGUACAGGGGUUUGUAAACAUUAUUAACACACUAUCUUUUCUACAAAGAUAAAUUUAACCUGAAAAGAAAAUAACUCAAACAGACUUUUGGUUUUUGUCUUUGAAAAACCUAGACAGUAUGAGGGUGAUUUUAUUGAUGACAAAAAAAAAGAAAUUACACUUAGUUAAGGGAGACAUAAACUUUACUUCUCAUAAAAGUACAUGAAAAAAAAGGGAUAUGAAACCUGAGUCCUCUAAAGCCAAACCUAAAAGGUCUAAAACCCGCAAAAUAAGUCGAAUAAUUCCACAAAGUUAGGACAACUCAAAUGGACUUAUAUGUAUGCUUCUUUGUUACAAACUAUAGCCUAUUCUUAUAAAAACAAUUUCUUGUAUAGGCUUCUUAUAUGUAUGCUUCAUCUUCUCCACGAACUUAUGAAUUAAGUGAAUAUUUUUUUCCUGCAAAAUUUAUUCCUCACAGGACACAGGAUUUUCAAGUGAUCAAUGCACUUUCGUCCUUAGUUUUCCAACGACAAAUUUAACUCAUUAGGUCCAUUACCAUAUCGUACUCCCAAAUUCUCCGACACUCCAAGGAAAUUUUUGCAUGUAUUAGGAGAAAUACCGCCACGUAUUGUUAUAAUUUAAAAAUAAAUUAAUAGUUUUGAUAUAUCUUACAUUUAAAAUUUAAUUUAAAAAGCAAAAACAUGUUAUAAUUUGAAUAAAAUAAUAAAUUUAUGUGAUGGUGAUUUGGGUGUUUUAAACCGUACUACUACUAUACUAACCAUAUCUUUCCCUUCUUCACGGGCCUUUGAUUGCCAUGACUCAUUUUGACUUGUCCUCGCGCUUCCUAUAUUUUUCCCAUAAACUUUGUUUAAGUUUACGUAGGAAGGAAUUUAGCAGUUCAUUAGAUCCAGUUCAAGACUCCUUUUUGUUCUGUUCUGUUCUGUGCUGUUUUUUCUCUUUUUAUGUUCAAGCCAAACACAUGGACACUACAUAUGCAGUAAUGUAGAGCAUGUGUAAUUGUUGGAUUUCACAUGCGGAUAAUUUGUUUUGAUACCACGAAGGUAGUUGAGGUUUCACUAUAAAGUGUGUUGAUAAUGAAUCACGCAUUGAUGAGAAGCGGGGAUCUUGCAUGAGCUUAUCAGUAAGCUAAGAUAUUCCUCAUAUUACCAAUUGAUUUAAGGUGAAACCUCAACUUUCUUCAUGAUAUUAGAGUAGGUUAUCUCAUGUGUGAAGACUAGCGGCCACACGUGCCCCACUUCUGUUCCAUGUGUUAGGCUUGAAAAUUUUCACUACACGUGAGAGGGCAUGUUGAGAAUGAAUCACGUAUUAAACGGAGGAGGAAUCUUGCAUUGACUUAUAAAUAAGUUAAGUAAUUCCCCAUAUUAACAAUUAACUUUAUAAUAAAACCUCAGCUUCUUCACUAUCAUGCACAUUCAGAUGUUGCAGAAGAAAAUAUAUUAACAGGCCUCUAAAAAGUUGGGUACUAUAGUUGAACUUGUCAGUAGCGUUGGGUGAAUGCUGCUAUUAGUUUUAUUAUGUCAUCAGUUUGAUCAGUUCUGAAAUAAGCUAUUUGAGAACUGAAACUAGUGAUGCAAACUUGAUGGUGGCUGCCAAUCAAAUUAUUUUAUUAGGCAGCUCUGUUCAUAGAUUAUAUAUGAUAUAUCACACAAUCAAAUUAUUUUAUUAGGCGGCUCUGUUCAUAAAUUAUAUACCACACUUUCAUUUCAUAUGAUCAUUGAGAUAAGCAGCUAAUAAGUACUAACAUAAAGCUCUUAACUUAAAGAAUUAAGAACAUUUAUCGUUUGCACCCAAGGUCCUAGCUCUAAGUCUGAUUGAUUACUUAAACAAAUAAAAGAGUGCAUAUCUGAGAUGCUCAAGUUACAAAGUAAUUCCUAUGAGAUGCCCUAUUUGCUUGUUUAUCAUUCAACACACGAGAUAUCACAAAUAAUAAACGUUGCAGUAAUUGCUAAUGUGCAGCUUCUUAAUGACCAUCAUCAUCCUAAUAGGUAUUAAACCCUAAUAGAUAAGUAGAUUUACCCAGACCCGGCCCCAUUCAUUGUGGGCUUUUACAAAACCUACUCAUACCAUAAUUGCCCCAAGCCCAUAUUCAACCUAAUGGGUGUUUUGGUAAAAUCACUUUCAAGGAUUUGCCCUUCUAAACUUAUGUGUCAAUUUUCUAAUAGCUACUCUAAUGGCUCUCUUUUAUUGACAGGCCCUUCAUCAAAAGAUGCAUAUUUUUAUUUUUAUUUUUAUUUUUCGACAAAGAUGAAAAUUUUAUAGUCUGUAUACUCGGCCAACAAAUAUUUGUAAAUGUUCAUUCCAAUGCAUUUUGAUUGGACAUUUCGUAUCUCUUGAUGGAUAGAAGUGAUGCCUAUUACUUUAUAGAAAAGAUUAGAAUUCUCUCACUUCUUUCCAUCUCCUUCUAUUUCAUUCUCUCAAAUUCUUUAUUAUUUUUUAAUUUUUUUUAUAAAAAAUUAAUAUAAAAUUUUGAUAUGGCUUAAAUGUGACUGUUCAAAUAGAAGGGAAAAGAAAGAGAGGAAAAAAAAAAGAGGGAAUAGAAUCGGGAAUAGAAUCAUACUCCUUAUGGAGAAUGUUUUCCAAUGCAUUUUGCAUGGACAUUUCCGAUCUCCAAUUGGAUAGAAGUAAAUCCCUAUUAUUUUAUAAAUUCACCUAUAUUAAAGAGUAUGUCAGUUUUUUAUUUUAAACAAAUGAUAUUAUUUACAUUAAUAGGAUGGAAGAGUGGGUUAAGCCUCACAAUAGGCUAGUAAUAAUGUGGUGCAACUUUGCAUUUGGUGAGAAUCGAAUAUAAGAUCUCACACUUACAAGUGAAAAGGAAUAAGAGUAUGUCAGUUUUGUGUGUUCCAAAUAACAUUAUUAUUAUUAUUUUAGUUGAUUGAUAAAAUCCUCCCUCAAGAGUACGGUCGAGGUUCCUUUAAAAAGAUUUUCAUUCUUCACUUGGUAUUUCACAAUUUUUUUAUCAAUGAUAUAUUUAUAGUAAAAGGAUGAGAGAAUAAGUUAAUUGCAAACUUGUUAUUCUCGUGAUUCAAAUUUAAGACAUCUUACUUUUAAUUAAUAAGGAAUACCUUUCAACCAUAGUAAUAAAUGACCAGUAUUUCACAACUUUGAAUAGAUGUGAAAUAUAAUAUAUAUUGUAGUAAAAAAAUCCCCGAUAAAAUAAGCGAAAAAGGAAAUGGAUAGGACCACAUAAUUAUGUCAUAAUCAUUUGGUAAUGUAUUAUUUCUGUCAAGACUUCUGCACGUUAGAGUGCCAGCGUGACUAGAAUAUCCAUUGUAUGGGUUAGAGAUUAAUUACAUUACCACCUAAGAUAUAUAUCAUAUUCCAUUCAUACUAAAAAGGCUCCAUAGUCGUCUUUGAUAUAGGAAUGCAUUUGACUCUCCUAAUAAAACUUGGUGGUAUUUAAUUAAUCCAUUUGUGUAAACAAUAUAUGCCACAUGAUUUGGAAAACUAUGUCAAGCCUUCUAGAAUUCUGUGAAAUGUCUACCACUUGUAAAUUGUGAUGCUCGUUACUCACCUGUCACUUUAUUUUAUAAAUAUUGCAGAAGACUUGGUCUUUAUAUUUGAAUUAGUACAAUUUGAUCAACAAGCACACCGUUUUUUUUUUUUUUUUAAUACGAUUGAUAUUUUACUUCAAAUUAAUCAAUACAAUUGUAUUCGAAUACAUAGAAGAGCACAUCUAAUUUCAUGUUUGCAAGUUUGGAUGAACUGAUUUGUCGAAUAUUUUCGAAACUUCAUGACAGCAGGAAGGGAGUUUAACUUCCAACGUCUAAAACAGUAUUCACCGCCAACCUUUUUGUCCCUUUUGUCUUCAUUUAGGGGGCGUUUGUUUGCCCUCACUAAGUGGGACUGGACUGGACUAGACUAGCUGUUAGUCCAAUACUGUGUUUGUUCCAUGCUGGGACUAAUAUUAAUGAGACUAAAGGGGACUAGCAUGGACAAAACCCUUCACUAAGAGGUCUUAGCGAGACCCCCCAAUAACCAUGGGACUAGCUAAGACUAUCCUCUCUCGUCCUCGUCAUGCUCAACAACCACUCCCGAUAGACUCCUCGUCAUCUCCGGUCACCUAGAUCAUAAUAAAAUAUUAAUAAUUUAUAUAUUAAAUAAUAUAAUAUUAGAAUUUGUUAUUAUCCAGCUUCUUAGUCUAACACUGCACCAAACGCUUCACUAAAUUAGUCCAGCUUAGUCUAGUCUAAGCCAAUCCAGCUUAGUCCUUGAAGCUAGUCCAGUCCGAGAUAGUCCGGCGCAACAAACGCCCCCUUAGGGUUUAAGGUUUAGAGAGAGAGAGAGAGUUAUUUUCCAAGCUACGAUUCUAGAACGUAAAUAGUCAAUCUGUCUCCGUCACCUUCUGUAUUAUCAUCCCUUGUUUCCUUCACUCUCUCUCUCUCUCUCAGGUCAAGAUAUUACUAAGCAAAAAGGAUUUGUAUUUUGUAGCUUUCAAAAGAAAAUAAAAUAUAUUAAUAGGAGCCUACUGCUAAGAGCAAUCAUUCUUGUAUACCCGAUGUUUCAAGUAGGAUAUCCCCCUUCCGGCUAAUAUUGCUUGUAUAAAAAUAAAAGAAUUUUAAUGAAAUAUUUUUCGUUUUGUUUACUUUUAACGAAAAAUCACAUUUUUACUUUUUCUGUCUACUAUUUACUACACAUAUAUUUAUCACUUUUCAUUAAAACUAAAUUUUUUUUGAAUUUUUAAUUAGUUUUUCUUAAAAAUAAAAGUCUGAAGUGAUCGAGGACUUUAAAGUUUAACUUUUCCCAUUAUUUAUUCUCUAAUUUCCCCUAACUUUUAUCGACUUGACCUACCCUCCAUGCUAGCAUGCACCAGCCUAAUGCUGUUAUAAAAAUAGCGGCUAACAACCACGUUAUGCAGAGUUAAUCAAAUGUUCAUAUACAUGCACUUGGUAUAGUUCAUUGCAAGUCAUAUGUGACCCUAGUUUUUUUUAUGGAGAAAUUAGAUUCACAUUCUUCUUUUUGCUACUCCAUUAAUUAAAAUUCUAUUCAUUUUCAAUUUUUGAUCAAGGUUCUUAGAUAUUAAUAACAUCAUUAAUUAUUUGAAUAAUAAAAUAUUUUUAUUUUUAAAUAUAUUCCCUUAGUGUUAAAAAUGUUACAAUUAGUAUAUUUAUAUUUAUGGCUAAAUUUUUUAUCAUAUAUUUUAUUUUUAGUUUGUACCUAUUUUUAAUUUACCAAUUUUUUUUUUCAUUUUUAAUUUGUACCCAUAUAUUAGUUUCUUUUUGUGCCCAUAUUUUUUAAAAGUUUUAUUCUUGUUUGUACUCAUGUGUAUACUGUUACGUGACAUUGUAAAUUUAAUCAAUGAUAUAAAAAUUACAUAUGGUAUAUUUAUGUUUUAUGCCUAAACUUUGUAUCAUAUAUUUAUAUUUUUAGUUUAUACCCACUUUUAAUUUGCAACAUUUUUUAAAUUUGUAGUAUUUUCUUUUUAGUUUUAUUUUGUACCCAUGUAUUAAUUUCUUUUAGCGCCUAUAUUUUUUAAAAAUUCAUUUGUACUCAUAAUUUUUUAAUCUUUUAUCUAUACCCUAAUUUAUUUAUAAUGUACCCAUUCUUCUUUAUUAAUGUACUACUUUGUUAUAUGUGAAAUGUACCAAUUUUUUUGUAAAAUGUACCAAAUUUUUAACACCAUGGAUACAUUCUUUUGCCAUUUAUUAUUUAUUAUUUUUACAUAGUUUUUAUCCAUUUAUUCAAUCAAAAUGUUUGAAUUUUUUUAUUGUAACCGUUUCUAAUAGUAUUAUAAUGAGGGAUUUUAAAUUUAUAGGAUUAUAAAUCUCAUAAAAUAUCAAACAAUUAAUGUCAAAACUAUAAAAAUAUAAAUAUUAAUUGUAAUAUAAUGAGUUGUACAAAGUCAAGGGACUUUGAUCAAACUUUGAAUACCAUUAAGGUUUUAGUCAAAGAAUGUUAAGGAUUAGGAACCACAUCCAAAAUAUCUUUUUUUUUUAUCUAUAUAUUCGAAAGAGAGUGCUCAGAUUCUUCAUCUUUAUUCGGUCAUAAUUGAUCAACCUCUUCCACACAAUCCCCCCCUUGUCUCUUUCUCUAUGUGGUAGAGACAAUAUGAGCAGCUCAAGUUCAAUACUCGCUCUACUCAGCCUUAUCUGUUUUACUGGUCAGGGAUUGAUAACAAGGGUGGCAGCAAAGAGCCAUGUAUAUUUUCAACAUCUCAAACACUUUUCUUGUUCUUUACGAUUUGCCUUUUCUUUGAUUUUUCUUCGAAAAAACUUGAACUGGGUGCUCUAAUACAUCUCUCAACCAACAGGUACACAUUGUUUAUAUGGGAGAUAGGCAGCAUGACAACACCAAGUUAAUCACAGAUUCACAUCAUGACUUGCUUGCCACUGUCGUGGGAAGGUAAUAUAAAUGGAUGUAGAAAAAUAAAGCCUUAAAGACCAAUUAUGUGAAUUUUAGUCUAGGAUCGAUGCUUAAAUAAACCAAAUUUGGAGUAAAAUGUUUGUUAAGUAAUUAUGUGGUUCUUAUGCCACAGCAGGGAAUUAGCCUCGGAAUUGAUGGUAUACAGUUACAAACAUGGUUUCUCUGGGUUUGCAGCCAAGCUCACGGAGUCUCAAACCCAACAACUUUCAGGUAUCUUUUAAAAACUUUGCCAUAGAUCAUUCAAUAAAGUCAUGUAUCGUGUUCAAUGAUUGGCAAUGAUAACACAAACUGCCAUGGACUCAUGAAAUGUUCUUCAAAUUUAAAUGAAUAAGAGCAUUGUACUUAUUAUAAUUAUGGCUUCUUAUGCUUAUAACAUUUGUGAAUUCAAGAGUUGCCUGGUGUUGUACGAAUCAUACCAAAUAGCCUUCAUAAGCUGGAAACAACUCGGAGUUGGGAUUUUCUUGGCCUCUCACCUCACUCUCCUUCCAAUAUUCUUCCCAAGAGCAACAUGGGGGAUGGAGUUAUCAUAGGUGUUCUUGACACAGGUUGCUCUCUCUCUCUCUCUCUGCCUCUCUCUCUCUCUCUCUGUCUCUCCCUUCCUCCCUCCCUCCCUCCCUCCUUCCUUCCCCUCCCUCACACACACACACACACACACACACACACACACACACACACACACACACACACACACAUGUACACACACGUAGUGGUCCCUUAACAUAACCACUCAAUGAAUCAAGGCAGGUAUAUGGCCGGAGUCUGAUUCAUUCAAUGAAAAAGGCCUCGGGCCUGUUCCAUCUCAUUGGAAUGGUGUUUGUGAAUCCGGGGACAAUUUCAAUGCUACAAUACAUUGCAAUAAAAAAAUCAUCGGAGCCCGUUGGUUUAUCAAUGGACUUCUUGCCGAGUAUGCAAAGCCAUUGGACAAAGAAUUCCAUUCUCCUAGAGAUGCACAUGGACAUGGUACUCAUACUUCAAGCACUGCAGCUGGUUCUUUUGUGGCUAAUAUCAGCUACAAGGGCCUUGGUCUUGGUACAAUUAGAGGCGGUGCUCCAAAGGCUCGGUUGGCCAUUUACAAGGUUUGUUGGAAUGUGCUUGGAGGCAAAUGCUCAACAGCUGAUAUGUUGAAAGCUUUUGACGAAGCAAUACAUGAUGGGGUUGAUGUGUUGUCAUUGUCAAUUGGGCAUCCUAUUCCCCUCUUCUCAGAUGUUGAUGAGCGUGAUGGCAUUGCAACCGGUUCCUUUCAUGCUGUGGCUAAGGGGAUUACUGUUGUGUGUGGAGCUGGAAAUAAUGGACCUUCAGCACAAACGGUUUCGAACACAGCACCGUGGAUCAUAACUGUUGCAGCAAGCACCAUGGAUCGAGAAUUUCCUACUUCUAUAACUUUAGGAAAUAAUAAAACUUUCCUGGUAUGUGUUUUUGUGAUUGGGGCAAUUAGCAUUUUGGAGUUUGAAGCAUCUCAUACACGUAUACUUUAAUAUUCUUGUAGGGUCAAGCUAUGUUUACAGGGACAGAGAUUGGAUUUACAAGCUUGGUAUACCCAGAGUCUAAAGGGCUUACCACUAGAGGGUACGUAGCAUUCUUAAUAACAUUGUGCCAGAUCUUACAGUUUGCCUAAUUUACAAUAUAUUUAUUAUUUGUUUUCACGAGUUGCUUGUUUUCAGUGUGUGUGAAUCCCUCUCACUUAACAAAACUAUAGUAGUUGGAAAGGUGGUUCUCUGCUUCACUACAAUGGGUCGUCGGGCGAUAACAAAUGCUUCAGCAGUUGUGAAAGAAGCAGGAGGUGUUGGCCUAAUCAUCGCAAAGAAUCCAAGUGAUGCUUUAUAUCCAUGUAAUGAAGACUUUCCAUGCAUUGAAGUUGACUAUGAGAUUGGCACUCGAAUUCUAUUUUAUAUCCGGUCUACCAGGUACGUAACUUUAAAUUUUAUUGUAAAAUGUGUGAUUAGUACUGCUAGGUUUGUUUGUAAUCCUCAAAAUUUGUUUGGAGUGCACAGAUAUCCUCUUGUAAAGCUGAUCCCUCCUCAAACAAUUGUGGGCAAGCCACUCUCUGCCAAGGUGGCUUAUUUUUCCUCUAGGGGACCAAACUCCAUAACACCAGCAACUCUCAAGGUAUCUACUCUAAUCUAAUGUACUUUUCAUGUUCACAUCAAUUCUUGAAAAUUUGUAACUCUCCGCAUUACAAUAACUGAAGCUUUCUUCUAGAGAUCAUCUCAUGCAUGUUUCUCCUGGAAAAGCUAUCAGCAAGUUUUUGGUAGAGACAAGUCUCUGUCGUUUGAGAUUCACCGUAACUGUUGAGUAUCUUCUUAUAACACUUUUUUUUGUUGUUGUGCCUUUGUCGGACAGCCAGAUAUAGCCGCGCCUGGUGUGAACAUACUAGCAGCAACUUCUCCACUUUAUUCAUUUGUGGAGGGUGGAUAUGCAAUGAUGUCUGGAACAUCAAUGUCAACUCCUCAUGUCACAGGCAUUGUGGCUCUUAUCAAGAGAAUGCAUCCUAAUUGGUCUCCAGCAGCCAUCAAAUCAGCAUUAGUAACAACUGGUAAUCACAUUAUAUGAUAUGUUCCUAAUUUCAAUAAGAUACAUGUGAAACUUAACAGUGUUAUGAAUUUAAAUGAAGCAUGGAGGAACGGCCCAUCUGGUUUACCGAUAUUUGCAGAAGGAUCGCCUCAAAAGUUGGCAAAUUCAUUUGACUUCGGAGGUGGUCUGGUGAAUCCCAAUGGCGCAGCAGAGCCUGGACUAGUAUACGACAUGGGUGCAGCAGACUACAUGGAAUAUCUUUGUGCAAGGGCGUACAACAACUCUGCCAUCUCUCGACUUACAGGGAAAAAGACAACAUGUCCCGUGAAGAAGCCCUCUAUCCUUGACGUUAACCUACCUUCCGUGACCAUACCUAGUCUGAGAAAUCCCGUCACAGUAAAAAGAACUGUAACAAAUGUUGGAGCCCCUGAGUCCAUUUACAAAGCUACCAUUGAGCCUCCAUUCGGUACAAUUGUAUAUGUGAACCCUACUGCUCUGGUCUUCAAUUCCACAGUUGAAAAACUCACUUUCACAAUCACAAUCUCCGCAAUCCACGAGAUGAACACUGGUUACUAUUUUGGAAGCCUUACUUGGGUUGACGGAGUGCAUGCCGUGAGGAUUCCUUUGUCUGUGAGAACUGAGUUCUUACAACCUCAUGAUGAUGAUGAUGAUGAAGACUAAAUUGAAUACUGAAAUAAAUUAGUGCAUUUCAGUUAUGAAAAGCAUUCAAUCACUAUAACAUUAUCCCUCCUGUACUAAAAAUAAGAUACCAAUGAUCCCACGCCUGAAAACGCAAGAAACAAAAAUUCGGAAAAGAAGUAGUGGAUUGUAUGUGUUUCUUGUAUCACCAGAGGGACAGAGGAGAAAGAACUUGUUGACGAAUCUCAAUGUCAUUAUUUUCGCUAGGAAAUUAUGGAGGAAAGCAAUUUAUAAUUUAAUUGUUUAGUUUUGCAUUUGAGUUUCAUUUUUAUAUUAGCAGGUGACAAGUUUUGAGUAGAUCGUAGUUUCACACAACAUGGUCACCUCUUGAAGGUCAAAGCAGGUGGUACUCGUAUCACUUAAUAUUUCUCAAUACUUGGAUGAUAAAAUUAAAAUGUGUGAAUUCAUAACCUUUCAUUUCGCUCUGCCCUCUCCCGAGAUCCUUAUGUUGAGAUCAUAUGAUAACUUGUAUUGAAGUCAUUAACAUUUGCAAAAACAGGUGUUAGUUAAACAAUCAGUGACUUUGCAGCCAGGAGCACAAGUUAAACCAUCGCAGUCGCGAUUAUGAGCACAGUCUGUCGCGUCUCCUGCAUCGGCUUGGAUCUCUUUUUCAUUUUUAUCAAGAGGAGGACAAAUGGAUUCAACACCUACACAUUUGCCAUCGUGUUUUGAAUAUGAACAUAGACCUCCAUCUUUUUUGCAUUCAAAAUCGUUCACACAUGGAACAGAGUAUCUAGUUCCAUAAACCUUCCAAUUUUGUGAACCUAAGAGAUGCAACAAGCCAAUUCGAUUUCAUCAGUCCUGUAGUACAAAAAAACACUGACUAGCUAAAAUUGGAGAGAGAGAGAGAGAGAGAGAGAGAGUGAGUGAGUACAUGUAGUAACAAAGACGACUAGCAGAACAACCAUCUUGAUAGUUGUCAUCUUAGGAUUUUUGAUCACUCGAAACUACGAAGGAUGUAUCAGUUUGUAGUUUGUAAGUCGGUUGUAUGUGAUAAUGAAUAUAUAGGGUAUGACCGGAUUUAGGCCAUAAUGUUAUUCCUUGGAGCAAAAUUGGUAACACGGAAAUUUGCAGAGUUCUUAAAAGGUUUUUCCUGUUUAAAAUAUAAUUUCUUUCUUUAACAAGAUUUUUUACAUUAACCCUUUUGCCAUACAUUUAAUUAUAUGGGUCAACAAAUCUCCAUAAUCCGAAAUUUAAUGAAACUUUAAGGACAGCUAUAGUUAAUUCACUUAUAAUCGAUGUUGUUGAUAUGAUUCUGGCUGAGGAUGAUCAACAAGAAAUUGUAAAGUCUUCCGACGAUUUGGUUUCCGAAUUUGAAAUGAAAAGAUUUGGGUGCCUUGAGUGUUUUUCGGGGAUUGAAGUCGCGCUUUUAGACCAAGGUAUAUUUCUAUUACCAAGGAAAUAUGUUCUUGAUCUGUUGACAGAAAUUGGUUUGCUAGAUUGUAAGCCAUCUGAUACACUUACUGUUCAAAAUCAUGAUCAUGGAGAGUAUUCAGAUCAGAUUAGUAGGAAGAUUUAUUUAUCACAUAGACCAGACAUUGCAUAUGCAGUAAGUGUUGUGAGUCAAUUUAUGUAUUAUUUUAGUGAACAUCACUUGAAUGAAGUCUAUUGGAUUCUCACAUAUCUAAGUCUGCACCAAGAAUAGGAAUUACGUUUACCAAAAAGAAUAGGAAUUACUAGAAAUAUGCCCACGAGUUGCUGUGGGACUUGAAUGCACCAGCCUUAACUACAUGAAUAAGACAUAUUUAACCUGGAAAAAAAAAUUCAAUAUAAUCAUGAACGAACAAAAGGGAUAGAUGAGUGAACGAUAUCGGUAAGAUAAACAGCUUAGCUUUUAUAUACAUUCAACCGAGGCUGAUUACAAAAGAUGUGGUUGCAAAAAAAUGCUCUGUUUCCCUGAGAAAAAGAAGCAACAACCCUGUAUGCUUGACCAAUGGUUCCAUACUCGUUUUCAAUCUGGUAUAAUUGAAACAACAAUUAACCCAUAGAAAGGUUCUGUUAAGUGCUUCUGGAAAAAAGGGUUUGUUGGAUUGCUUUUCAGCUUGCUUGCUUUGUGGUGAUAUAGUGCUUGGGAUUUCAUGCUUGGUCCAAGAGAAUGGAGAAUACUGUAGAUAAACAACAGUUGAAAAUUAGUCGGUUCACUGCCUCAAUUUAAUGAAAAUUCUUUGUUACAAUUGAUCACACCAAGAAAAAAAUAAAGGAAGACUUCUAAUCCCAUAAAUUACCAAAAAUUCUACUAUCCUAUACUUUUGUCCUUUGUCUCCCAUUGACUAAAAACACUCCCAAAUCACACCAGCCAGCCAUACAAAGCCAUUGGUCACAUCAUAUAUUAGGUAACCAAAUUCAAAUAACAAAGUUUAGAUAAUGAAAUGCAAAGAACAUGAUACAUAUAGAAAAAUUCAAGAACAUGAUUAAGAGGAUUUGAACAUAUCAAGUAAAAUCAGAUUCAGUUGAAUCCUUUCUAUAGCAUGCUAAAUAAAGACGGAAAAUGAUACGACAGUAUAAACGUUUGAGAAUGGACAUAAAAGAAUUUAUGUUUUGAAAAGAACUUCAAAGAGGAAGAGAAAAGUUUAAUUCACUCACAACAUCCUCCAUUGUGGUACGCCAUUCUUGCAUGGACGAUAAACCAUAUCUAACAUAGCCAUUUUCCCAAUCUUUGGAGAACUUUUCAGUUUCAGGAGUGCUCAGAUUGUACUAGGCCUGACAAUUCUUGACACGACCCGAUAACCCGACACGACACGACACGAAAUUAACAGGUGUUUGGGUCGACACGAUAACGAAUCGGGUGUUAUCAGGUAACCCGAUAAGCACCUGUUAAGAUAACGGGUUGGUUCGGGUAUACACGUGGGUAACACGAUACACGAUAAGCAGAAUAUUAAUUUAAUAAUUUUAUAACCCUAAAAAAUACUAUAAUAAUUAUAUAUAUAUAUAUAUAUAUUAAAUUAACUAUAAUAAUUAUAUAUACUAUAAUAAUUAUACCCCCAAAAUAUUAACUAUAAUAAUUAUAUAUAUAUAUAUAUAUUAAGUUUUAAAUUAAAUUUUAUACCCCUAAAAACUAUAAUAAUUAUACGUACAAAAUAAAUAGAUUUAAAUCUACAUAAUAAAUAUAUAUAUAUAUACACACACACACCAUUGAACUUGAUGGGAUACACGAAACUAAUUUCAAUGAUCCAACCGUUAAACUCGUUUGUAUAUGCUUCGAGAUCGCAUACACCAAAAAUCGCAAAAAACAAACAUUCAGAGAUCAAGUAACGGGACAAAACUUUUCGACGGUUUUAAAGCAAAAAAUCACGAUUUAACGGUUAUUUUAACUCCGAUUUUGAUGAUUUUUUACAACUACACUCAUUGACCUUAUAUGAAUACAAUGAAUGAAUUCGAUUUUCAAUUUAAAAUAUUUACACUAGUGGAUACCACAAAAUCUUAUGUUAUACUUAAUGAAAAUAUAAAUAAACUCUAAGUGUUAGUGAAUCUAUCGUUUUGAUGGGAUACAAAUUAUAUGAAACUAAUUUUAACGAUCCAACUGUCAAACUUGUUUGUAUAUGCUUCGAGAUGGCAUACGCCAAAAAUCACAAAAAACAAUCAUUCAGAGAUCAAGUAAUGAGACAAAACUUUUCGACGGUUACAAAACAAAAAAUCACAAUUUAACGGUUAUUUUAACUCCGAUUUUGAUGAUUUUUUACAACUAAACUCCUUUACCCUAUACUAAUACAAUGAAUGAAUUUGAUCGUCAAUUUAAAAUAUUUACAUAAGUCGAUACCACACAAUCUUAUGCUUUACUUAAUGAAAUUAUAAAUAAACUCUAAGUGUUAGUGAAUCUAUCGUUUUGAUGGCAUACGAAUUCUGUGAAACUAAUUUUAACGAUCCAACUGUCAAACUUGUUUGUAUAUGCUUCGAGAUCCCAUACGCCAAAAAUCACAAAAAACAAAAAUUCAGAGUUCAAGUAAUGAGACAAAACUUUUCGACGAAUAUAAAACAAAAAAUCACGAUUUAACGGUUAUUUUAACUCCAAUUUUGAUGAUUUUUUACAGCUACACUCGUUGACCCUAUAUGAAUACAAUGAAUGAAUUCGAUUUUCAAUUUAAAAUAUUUACACUAGUGGAUACGACAAAAUCUUAUGUUAUACUUAAUGAAGUAUAAAUAAACUCUAAGUGUUAGUGAAUCUAUCGUUUUAAUGGGAAACGAAUUCUAUGAAACUAAUUUCAACGAUCCAACCGUCAAACUUGUUUGUAUAUACUUCGAGAUCGUAUAGGCCAAAAAUCACAAAAAACAAACAUUGAGAGAUCAAGUAAUGAGAUAAAACGUUUCGACGGUUAUAAAACAAAAAAUCACGAUUUAACGGUUAUUUUAACUCCAAUUUUGAUGAUUUUUUACAACUACACUCCUUGACCCUAUAUGAAUACAAUGAAUGAAUUUGAUUUUCAAUUUAAAAUAUUUACACAAGUGGAUACCACAAAAUAUUAUGUUAUACUUAAUGAAUGUAUAAAUAAACUCUAAGUGUUAGUGAAUCUAUCGUUUUGAUGGGAUAUGAAUUCUAUGAAACUAAUUUCAACGAUCUAACCGUCAAACUUAUUUGUAUAUGCUUCGAGAUCGCAUACGCCAAAAAUCACAAAAAACAAACAUUCAGAUAUCAAGUAAUGAGACAAAACUUUUCGACGGUUAUAAAACAAAACAUCAUGAUUUAACAGUUAUUUUAACCCCGAUUUUGAUGAUUUUUUACAACUACACUCCUUGACCCUAUAUGAAUACAAUGAAUGAAUUCGAUUUCCAAUUUAAAAUAUAUUACACUAGUGGAUGCCACAAAAUCUUAUGUUAUACUUAAUGAAAGUAUAAAUAAACUCUAAGUGUUAGUGAAUCUAUUGUUUUGAUGGGAUACGAAUUCUAUGAAACUAAUUUCAACGAUCCAACCAUCAAACUUGUUUGUAUAUGCUUCGAGAUCGUAUACGCCAAAAAUCACAAAAAAAAAACAUUCAGAGAUCAAGUAAUGAGACAAAACUUUUCGACGGUUAUAAAACAAAAAAUCACAAUUUAACGGUUAUUUUAACUCCGAUUUUGAUAAUUUUUUACAACUAAACUCCUUUACCCUAUACUAAUACAAUGAAUGAAUUUGAUCGUCAAUUUAAAAUAUUUACAUAAGUCGAUACCACACAAUCCUAUGUUUUACUUAAUGAAAGUAUAAAUAAAUUCUAAGUGUUUGUGAAUCUAUCGUUUUGAUGGCAUACAAAUUCUAUGAAACUAAUUUUAACGAUCAAACCGUCAAACUUGUUUGUAUAUGCUUCGAGAUCGCAUACGCCAAAAAUCACAAAAAACAAACAUUCAGAUAUCAAGUAAUGAGACAAAACUUUUCGACGGUUAUAAAACAAAAAAUCACAAUUUAACGGUUAUUUUAACUCUGAUUUUGAUGAUUUUUUACAACUACACUCCUUGACCCUAUAUGAAUACAGUGAAUGAAUUCGAUUUCCAAUUUAAAAUAUUUACACUAGUGGAUGCCACAAAAUCUUAUGUUAUACUUAAUGAAAGUGAAUAUAUUGUUUUGAUGGGAUGCGAAUUCUAUGAAACUAAUUUCAACGAUCCAACUGUCAAACUUGUUUGUAUAUGCUUCCAGAUCGCAUACGCCAAAAAUCACAAAAAACAAAUAUUCAGAGAUCAAGUAAUGAGACAAAACUUUUCGACGGUUAUAAAACAAAAAAUCACAAUUUAACGGUUAUUUUAACUCCGAUUUUGAUGAUUUUUUACAACUACACUCCUUGACCCUAUACAAAUACAAUGAAUGAAUUUGAUCGUCAAUUUAUAAUAUUUAUACAAGUGGAUACCACAAAAUCUUAUGUUAUACUUAAUGAAAGUAUAAAUAAACUCAAGUGUUAGUUAAUCUAUCGUUUUGAUGGGAUACGAAUUCUAUGAAACUAAUUUUAACGAUCCAACCGUCAAACUUGUUUGUAUAUGCUUUGAGAUCGCAUACGCCAAAAAUCACAAAAAACAAACAUUCAGAGAUCAAGUAUUAGACAAAACUUUUCGACGGUUAUAAAACAAAAAAUCACGAUUUAAUGGUUAUUUUAACUCCGAUUUUGAUGAUUUUUUACAACUACACUCCUUGACCCUAUACGAAUACAAUGAAUGAAUUUGAUCGUCAAUUUAAAAUAUUUACACAAAUGGAUACCACAAAAUCUUAUGUUAUACUUAAUAAAAAUAUAAAUAAACUCUAAGUGUUAGUGAAUCUAUCGUUUUGAUGGCAUACGAAUUCUAUGAAACUAAUUUUAACGAUCCAACCGUCAAACUUGUUUGUAUAUGCUUCGAAAUCACAUAUGGCAAAAAUCACUAACUUGUUUGUAUAUGCUUCGAGAUCACAACCGUCAAACUUGGUUUUUUAUUAGGCUUUUAUUUUCGAGUGUAGAUGUAGUACUUAAAUGACAAAUAUGUUUUAAUGUUUUGAAGUAAUAUUUAUGUGGUAAUGUGUGGUAUGUGGAAAUUUAAGAAAAUUUAUAUUUUUCUUAACGGGUCAUAACGGGUUAUAACGGCUCGGGUCACUUUACCCAACACCUGUUAAGGACCCGUUAAGAUAACAGGUGUGACACGACACGACCCGUUAAGAUAACAGGUGUUACACGAAAACAACACGAACACGACAGACACGACCCGUUUGCCAGGCCUAAAUUGUACCCAUUCCAAUAUGAAAUUAAAUAAGAACUCAAUCAAAAACUUUAAUCCUACAAUUCAAUGCUGAAAAACUAAAGUAGCCAGAAACCAAAAGAUCUGAGUGACAACUUGUACGGACGUUACAAAAAUGCAGGACACGAAACACAUUAAAACUUCUAGAAACUCUAAGUUAUCACUAUUUGGUUAUGAAGAUAGAUGUAUAUCACCAGGAAACCAAAAAAAUGGCAAGGAUUUGCCAAAAUUUGUGAAUCAAACACAUGCGUCAACUUCUUUUCCUUUGUUAGUCUGUUAUCAUCUCACAUGCCACACUAUUCAAGACUGGAUCAAUUCGAUCACAGCCAAACCGUCGGUAUUAAACUUAACUAAGUACCGAUCAAAUGAUCUAAACAUUGUGUAUUACAGAUCCAAAUCAAUAGUGGUAAUAAAUAAGAUAAUUUCAGUUGCCAUUUGCAAUUAAAAUUGAACAAUGCUUACUCCCAAGGAAUAUCUGACAUUGAUUGCAGCAAUCAAAUGUGCGUUUAAUUGAUUUAGCUAUGUAUUUGAGGAUUUGGGAAAGGUUUUUUGAGAGUAAACGGACGUUAAUUAUUAGCCAUGUAUUUGCUUAAUAAACGGGAGCUGAAAUUGCUAUGUAUUUUUGAAUGGGGAAUUUAAAAACCAAUCCCAAUUUGUCAUUGCUCAAACAAAUUGGAAUUUCAGAACCAAUCUCAAUGAUCAAAUUAACGAAAUAUUCAAUUUUAUGAAAACUCUUAAGCUAAUUUAGAAAGGCAAAUUGCAAUAUUUUGAAGGAAUUUGAAAAAUGAGGGAGAAAAAACCAAAUUAGAAGGUCGUGCCUUAUCUCCCUCACAAAAUCAAUCGCACAAAAACCAUAGCUUUUGAUGGAAUUUCAAAACCAAACAAAUCUCUAAGAUGAAUUUUUCAAGUAAACAUGUUUAACACAAAUUUCUCAAUUAUUAACACUACUCUUUCUCAAUUAUUAAAAACAUAAAGAUCAAAGUCAAUUGGGUGUAUAAUUAUAUACCUAAUCGUGUCAAGCAAGCAAGCAACUUUUGCCUCCAACGACCCAAAAUUCUGAAAAUUCUAAAAAAUUUAAUUUAAAAAAAAAAAAAACAACAUAAGAAAGAUAAAACUCGACAUAAAGAGAAAUCUACAAACCGGAUGCCAGAUCAUCAAAGAUUAAAAACCACUCAGAAUCUAUUAGCAUUUGAGUCUAAAUAUGAGAAAUUGUGAACUUUGUUCCAUAGGAUAGUUAAGAAGAUACUAUCAUAUCGAAACCAACGCUGAAUAAAAUCCAGCAAUGAGAUUGUGAUGAUAUAACGUCAUUUCUUUAAAGCUGCAUAUACGAACCUAAAAAGGAAAAUAUGGCCAAGGAUAGACUGUCUCCAUUGGCCCUUCAAGUCUCCUAACCACCAAAACCACCCGUCUAGAUGCAUUUGCCUGUUCUUUCCCACAAUUCUUAGAGAUCAAAUAAAACCCUCAGAUUGACUGGGGACAAUAUCAAAAUCCUUUUUGAAACCGUAAUAUAGGAAGACAUGAAUAAUUUCGACAGAAAGACACACAAAUUGUUGAGGGAGGAUGUGAAGCUUCUGUACGGAAGGUUUCUACUCUUGUACAUGUAAAAAUAUAAAAUGAAGCAAGAGAAAUUCAACAAAAAAACUUGAAAACCCUUGCCCAAAAAAACUCACUAAAUUCAAAGCAUAACAUCUACAUAGAGUCACUAACAUACAUUGCUUAGUUAGGACUCUGUUAUACUCAUCAUCCUUGAUCAAUGUAAUCAUACAUUUGAUAGCUGCACUCCCCAUUGACAUACACUGACAUAGCAUCUACUUUUUUGCUGACUUUAUUUGCUUAGUCAAGCAAUAACCAACAUACACAAUAUGACAAUCAUAGCAGCUACACCAACCAUCCAUAAAUGGCAGAAAUACAAAUACAAUUCCAAUGGGGUUUGGAACAAAUGAACCAAUCAUCCAAUUCGAAUGUCAUUUGGAACAAAUACACCAACCAUUCAAUUGGAAUGGGGUUUGGUACAAAUACAUGCUUAGUUAUCUCAAGCUUUACAUAAAUGGACAGAUACAGACAUGCGCACAAAAUAGAAAGAAGCCCAGUUCCAUUCUAAGCUCAAACGAACAAAAUUGAAUUAUAUAUUUAAAAUCCAAGCAUGAAAGCUUCACAAAGAUAAAUUAAAAACAUGUAAAUAACUAAUUAGGCUUUGAAUAAAAAUGAGGGUGUAUAAUUAUAUACCUCAAAAUGGCAGGGAACCAACUUCUUGCUCCAACGAUCCAAAUUUUUGAAAUUUGCAAACAAAGUAAAUCCAUUAGCAACUCAGAGACUUUAAAAUUUGAAAGACCAAAUCUAAUGAAAUUUUAGUUAAAUGACCAAAGCCACACCAAAAGAAAAGAAGAGAUUUUAGAAAUAUUUUGAAUCCAACACAACUAAUUUGGUCUAACGAAGAAUAUGAAAGCUUAAGCCUAGGUGAAAUGUUCAAUAAACUGCAAGAGGCCUCGGCCAAGGCCAUAAUUGAACAAUCAUGUCACAAUUACUUCAAUGCAUUUGGAUAUAAAGGAAAAUUAAAUUUGUUCAAUUUCAAUAUAAAGAACUUAAUGCAGGAACAACUUUUGUGCUUCAAUGGCGUGAGAAGUAAAUAACCAAGUUUAUAUAUUGCAGUUCGGAUAACAGAAUUAUAGGUUCAUAACAGUCCAAAUAACUUCACCUAACCAACAUGAAAUGACAAGAAAAAUGAGUCGAUUACAUAAGUUUUAAAUAAUCUCGUGCCAAACAGCUUAUGCUAGUAUGGCCUCUUAUGUUUAAGGAGCAAUUGAAAGAAAAUAGUUCAUGAACAUCGCGUUUCUGUUGGUAGCGCAGUGCAUCGAACGGAUUUGAUUUCACAGCAGUAACAACCAAAAAAUCAAAUAAUGUAAUGGAAGAAAAGCAAAGAUUAAUAACCAUCAAUGUUUUAAAAGGCUCGCGUCAAGGGGCGCCUAGGUGCGCCUUGUGAGGCUGGGCUUGAGGGUUGCCGCCUCUGUUUUGAGGGAGUGGGCGGAAGGCGCCACCGGAGCUGCCUAGGCGCGCCUCAGGGGAAUUUUUUUUAAAUUUAAAAUUUUUUUUUAAAAUUUUUUUACUCCCAAACCCAAAUUUUAGGUAGGGUUUUAAUUGCCUCAUACCUCUUCCUUGCACUAUUGUCUCUCUGUCUUUUUUUUUCUUUUUCUGAUUUUAUUUUUUUAUAUAAUGGAUGUGUGUGUUGUCUGCGUGCAUUGUUAUAUGUGCUCAUUGUGCUUUUCAUCCUCUAUUAUAUAUAUAUAUAAUAUGUAUAUAUAUGUGUAUUUAUAAUAUAUGUGUGUGCUUAGGGUGAUUAUUGAUUAAUAAUCUUUUUUUUAAUAUAAUAUAUGUGUACGCUUAGUGUAUAUAUUAAAAAAUUUAGGUCCCGUGAGGUGAAGGCUGGGCUAUCCCUCGAACGCCUUGCCUACGCCUCACGCUUACAUUGAUAACCAUACACCUAUCCAUUUUCUCUUGUAAACAAAAUUUUUCAUUUGCACCUAAUUUAAAGUCAUGCUUGUUUAGAGAUAUAAUCAUAGCAAAUAGAAAGACUCAAUCCAUUGCUAAAAUCAGCAACCAUAAUUUCCUACUAAAAAGAACUUAGCACAAUAGAUUUCUUAGGAAUUAGGAUGCCUAAGACAGUGAUUGAAUCUCUUGGAAAUCAAAUCAAUGCUAAAAAGUUUUAAGCAAUCGACAUAUCAGAUUCAGUUCGAGUUCACCAGCCGCAAUCAAAUAUACACUCGAUACAAUUUAUUAGGACAAUAUAAACUUAUAUUUUGACCAAGAAAAAAAAGAUAGUUCAUCAUUAUAUUUCACUAUUCGACUCACAAAAUCGAAUGGAAUAACAAUUCUUGGAACAGGGGAUCCUUCAAUGUUACGAAACACCCACAACAAUCUUAAAACUACAAAUGUGAGCACCGAAAUCUGUAAAAAGGAAUCAUAUCUGAUGUAGCAUUUGCAUAUCUGCCUUCUCUCAUCUCCUCCACACAUAAACUAAACAAUUUUUGUGCACUACAAAUUCGAGAAAGAAUCAAGUUGGCCUCUGCUGUGCAAAUGAUUUGUUCCACAUCUUUUCUCCAGUUCCCAAAACUAUAGAUACGAUCGUAAUAAAACAUAAAUGGUCCUCACACAGUGCACCCCACCCCCCACCCCCCCUAGCAAUCUAACAAAGAGAGAUUUGUCAAAAGAGAAAAAAAAAAGAGCUUUAAAUGCGAGUUGCUUGAUGUGGUUUUCAUUUUCUCCUCUUCUAUUACAGACUAAGCAUACACCGAUCCAUCCAUAUGUAUAAAUCUAUACACACACACACAUAUAUUCACACACACAUCUAUAUACACACACAUAUAUUUAUAUAAAUAAUAAAAAUAAAAACCUCAUUAACAAAAAUCAAUCACUUAUUGGUCUUAUCUCAUAAAGUCAAUCAAACAAUAAAAAAAUAUAAUCACCCCACAUAUAAAGAUCGGAUCUUUACAUAUACAAAUCCAUCAAACUACAUCACAAAACUAACAAAUACAACAAUCAAUACCUCUACGCAAUCACAAACCCACACACCACAAAUCAUUUUUCACAAAACCAAAACCAGACAACAAUCAAACUUACAAAUUUCAUUGGCGAAUAUAUACUGGAUUCUGAAAGCGAUGAGAGAAAUAUACCUUUGGGGUGUCGAUGUCAGAAGGGUGAGUGAGGCCGAGAUUGGCCCGAGCGACAGUGCGAGCCAUGAGCUUCCCUCUGCGAGAGCACAGGAGUGUAACUGCAAAAGAAAAUUGGAGACUGAGGGCAGACCGUAAUUUCGUCAAAAAGGAGAGAGUACAAAGGAGAAGUGACAGCAAUAAGCAUGUAGACGCCAAGGACAAAGUAAAUAUGUAUUUGUGAAUGGGGUUAAGCUGCUGCUAGCUUUGUAUAGUGUAAUAAUGCAACCGCAAAUAGACCAAGCUUCUGCUAUUAAAAGCUUUUACAAAAUCAUAAAACUCUUAACAGUUUGAACCCUAUCAGAAAGUUUAUAUGAGUUAAAGAAUGGUCAUACUUAAGUGCAGCAAGAUCAUAAGCUCUUGUAGCUUCUCCUUCAUAUCAGAACCACCUGCAGUCCAAAUUAAACCAAGAUUCAAUGCCAAAUCAAGAACAAAUUAGUGAUAAUUUAAACUAAAGUCCCUAAUAUUGUUGCAGAGAGAGAAUUCAUAUCAAGAUUAACUACAUUAUUUGAUUCGAAUGAAAUCCAAAAGCAGUAUAAACAUGAAAGGUAAAAAAUUAAUAACAAAAGUCACAUUUCAGCAGCAGUUAAUAGCAUAAAUCAGAUUUUAGCGGCAGGGACCAAAAUAAUUCAGUAAAAGAGAAACAAUCCCAAAUAAAUACAAAGAACUGGAGAAACAAUUCCAAACAAAUCUUUGGAAAGCAACUGCAUCCCUCCCUCACCCCCCCUCUCUAAUUCCAACUUCUCCCUUCAUCUAUCUUUCUCUCUCUCUCUCUCUCUCUAUAAUAGACGUGCAGUUUUAUUAAUCUUUGUUACCAAAGCAUGCAAGAUAUUGAAAAGGAUGUUUAUCUAAGAAAAAAAGGGCACAUUGUCCAUCAUAGAAAGCAAGCGUGGAAGAAGAAGAAAAUUAAUCAUAUUCCAGAAACCAAAUCUUCACAGUAUCUUAGAAACAGUCACAGCAGCCGACCCCAUAAAAAGUUGCUCUUCUGAAAUUUACAAUCAAAGAAACAAACUGUCAUGAGUUGUACCGUAACAAAGCAGGAGCAUAAAAGGAAAAAAUUGAGUUUAAUAAACCCUAGUGCAGUUGUAUCGUCAACUCGAUUGAUUUUUGAUCGAUUUCUUGCCUUCUUCUCUCUGAUUCUUUGAUCUUUGUCUUCGAUCUUUCUUGAAUCUUGAUCGCUGCAAGAAAUGGCUGCUCAAUCUGCAUCGCCACCGACUGGGUCGUCUUCUCUGAUCAUCUCUCAUUCGGUCCAAAACCCUAAUUCCUCUUCUAAUCCCAGUCCUCUGAAUUUGUAUACCUCUCUUACGAUUCACAAAAUCGGUAGUAUGGUGCCGAUCAAGCUGAAAAGGUCCAAUUAUCUGCCAUGGUGCGCUCUGUUUGCUCCCAUUUUCCGACGAUAGAAACUCCUUGGGAUUAUUGAUGGCACUGAGAUCUGUCCUUCGCCAUACUUGCCCGAUCGAACGCUGAACCCUGCCUUAAAGGAUUGGUAUGAAAAAGAUCAAAAUCUCUUGAUCUGGAUUAAUUCUACUUUAUCCGAAGAGAUCAUUCCUUUCACAGUUGGGGUUUCCUCUUCUUGUGAGCUCUGGUUGAAAUUAGAAACAACAUUUUGGUGGAAUUUCGGAGGCUCAUGUUCACCAAUUGCAAUCGAGGCUUCAAUCAAUUCAGAAAGGUUCUCAGUCCAUCUCUGAAUAUCUUCAACAAAUCAAGGAAAUUGCUGAUUCCUUGCAAGCUGAUGGUGCUUCAGUCUCCGAUUGUGACCUAAUUGCUGCCACCCUACAUAGAUUGCCUGAUGAAUUCGAAUCCUUUAUUGAUUCCAUCAUGCUCCGAUUAUCUUCUACCUCUCUUGAUGAACUACAUGGCCUCUUACUCACCAAAGAGUUGUCUAUGGCUCGUCGUAAGACUGUUUCUUCAUCCUCUGCAACUGAGCCAUUUCAAGCUUUCUCCGUGCAAUCUCAGCCUCCUCUGCUGCCUACUCCAUCUGCUUUUGCUGCUCAGAACCAACCUCUUCAAUCUGCUUCUUGGUUUAACUCAAGUCGGAGUAAGCCAUCUCGAGGUAAUUUCUCCUCCAAUCGCAGUAAUCGCAGCUUCUAUAAUAAUCGUGGUAAUUUCUUCAACAAUCGUGGAAAUCAGACUUAUCAAGGCUCUCGCAAUUAUCAAAGUUCUUCUACUUUCAAAGUUCCUUGUCAAAUCUGUGGUUCCACCAGUCAUGAGGCCAUUGACUGCUUUGAUCGUAGGAAUCCGGACAUUUGUGGUCGCAUUCCUUUGGCUAAACUUGCUGCUAUGUGUGUGCAUCAUUCCGCCAAAUCCUCAGCCAUGGUUAAUUGAUUUUGGCGCAACCUCUCACAUCACUAAUGAUGUAGCCAAUAUCUCGUCUCCUACUCCCUACACUGGAGAGGACAAAGUGUAUAUUGGAGAUGGUAAAGGCUUAUCUAUUCAUAAUACUGGUUCAUCAUCUCUGCAAACUUCUCAUACCUCUUUUAAGCUGAGCAAUGUUUUACAUGUUCCCUUCAUGAAACAUAAUCUCUUAUUUGCUUAUCAAUUUCUUAAGGAUAACAACUGUUCGUUGACUCUUGACCCCUAUGGAUCCAUUGUCAAGGAUUGCAUUUCGGGGAAGACGCUUUUGCAAGGACCUGUUAAAGAUGGUUUCUAUCCUUUACAAGGUUCUAUCAACUCUUCUCCUUCUCUACCUUCAGCUUUUCUCAACAUCAAAGCACCUGUCACAGUAUGGCACAAGCGCUUAGGACAUCAUUCUUCCUCAAUUUUUUGAAGGAUCUUAUUUACCAAUAAUCUUGCUUUGCAAGGCAAGCAAAUGUUGACUUUUUCUGCUCAAAUUGUGCACUUGCUAAGAACCACAAGCUUCCUUUUGGAGUAGCUUCUUCAUCAACAACUCAAAGUCUUCAACUUCUACAUUGUGAUCUAUAGGGACCUGCCUCUGUCACAUCUAAUAGUGGUUUCAAAUAUUACUUACUACUUGUUGAUGACUUUAGCAAAUAUAGUUGGUUUUUCCCAUUGAAGUCCAAGUUUGAUGUAUUUUCUACCUUUGUUACUUUAAAAAACUAUGUAGAAAACUUCAAUGGCAAUAAAAUCAAGAUUCUGCGUUCCAAUUCAGGGGGUGAAUUCACUAAUAACUCUCUUGCUUCAUUUCUUCAUGAACAUGGUAUAUUACAUCAAUUUAGUUGACCUCAUACUCCUGAACAAAAUGGCUGUGCAGAGAGGAAACAUAGACAUCUUGUUGAGACAGCUAGAACAUUACUUUUUGCUUCUCAUGUUCCUCAUAUUUUUUGGGUUAAAGCAUUCUCCACUGCUCUAUAUCUCAUUAAUAGACUUCCUAUUUCUAGAUUAACAAAGUCACCAUGGGAACUUCUCUUCAACCAUCAUCCAGAUUACUCAAAACUGAAAGUCUUUGAAUGUCAAUGUUAUCCGUGGCUUAAACUGUACAUUCCUAGUAAAUUGGAUGCUAAGAGUAAAAGUUGUGUGUUUUUGGGAUGUAGUCUUCAACAUAAAGGCUAUAGGUGCCUUGAUCCCAUUACAAAUCGAAUCUACAUAUCAAGACAUGUUGUUUUUGAUGAACACUCUUAUCCAUUUCAAUCACUGCAGAUUUCAAGUUCAUUUUCAGGCAGUUCAUCUUCCACCUCUUCAUCAUUUUUGGAUCUUCAUUUCCACAAACACUUCUCAAGUUCUCAUCCUGCAAGUACUUCUUCAGCACCACCAUGUUCCUUUGCUCCUACUUCUAUUACAACUCAGCAUUCUUCAAGUCAUCUGACAAUGGAUACUUCUCCAAGUUCUUCCAGUUCUGUCUCUAUAUCAGACUUCUCUCUCUUGCCUCUUCAGCCAAGUCAUCUACAUAUUUCUACGAGUAGACAUCCUAUGAUUACAAGAUCUAAAGCUGGAAUCUUCAAGACUCGAGCUUAUGCAGCCACCAAACAUUCACUUCCUGUUGAUCUUGACUUUGUUCCCAGUAUGUAUUUGCAAGCAUCAAAACAUGCUCAUUGGAGAGCUACAAUGCAAGCUGAGUAUAAUGCUUUAAUAACCACUGGCACGUGGUCUCUUGUUCCAUCUCAUCCUUCUCAGAAUGUUGUUGGUUGUAAAUGGGUUUUUCAGAUCAACAAAAAUCCUGAUGGCACCAUUAAUAGACACAAAGCCCGUCUAGUAGCCAAGGGCUUUCAUUAACAAGAAGUGGAUUUUCAGGAAACCUUUAGUCCUGUUACAAAACCGGUUACCAUUAGGAUUCUUCUUACACUUGCUGUUCAACAUAAUUGGUUUUUGAACCAAUUAGACAUCAGCAAUGCCUUUCUUUAUGGCGAUCUAAAAUAGGAUGUUUAUAUGCAACAACCUUCUGGUUUUGUUAAUCCUAACUCUCCCAGUUUUGUUUGCAAGCUACAGAAAUCCUUAUAUGGUCUUAAACAAGCUCCUCGAGCUUGGUUUGAUAAAUUGUUCCAAGCUCUUCGUACAUUUGGCUUUCAUCAAUCACAAUCGGAUGCUUCCUUAUUUGUUCUCAAUGGUCCUCAAUUGGUUAUUGUCAUUGUCUAUGUCGAUGACAUUUUAGUCACUGGGCCUAACUCUCAGCUCUGUCAACAGUUUAUCCAGCAACUUAGCACUUAGUUUCCAGUUAAAGAUCUUGGUCCUUUACACUAUUUCUUGGGAUUGGAAGUACACCGAUCUAACAAAGGUCUCUUCUUGCAUCAGACCAAGUACCUCCUUGAUCUUUUUAAGAAAACAAACAUGGAGGGUGCAAAACCUUGUUGCACUCCUCUUGGUUCUCAGAAAUUGGAUCACAAUGGGCCUCUCUUAUCCAAUCCUACUGAAUAUCGUUCUAUAGUGGUGCGUUACAAUAUCUUACUUGGACUCGACCGGAUCUUGCUUUUGCUGUCAAUCAAAAUUUUCAAUUUAUGCAUGCUCCACGAGAACAAUAUCUUGAAGCAGCAAAACGUGUCCUCAGAUUUCUCAAAGGUUCUAUUUCUCAUGGUUUAUGGUUUACUAAGGGUCCUAUCACACUUUCAGCAUACUCUGAUGCUGAUUGGGCAGUCUGUCCAUUUGAUAGGCGAUCUACUAGUGGAUAUUGUGUCUUUCUUGGCCCUAAUCUCAUUAGUUGGAGUGCUAAGAAACAAAGCACUGUUGCUCAUUCCUCUACCGAAGCUGAAUAUCGGUCUUUAGCCCAUACUGCUGCAGAAAUUACUUGGGUGUGCAAAAUCCUUAAGGAUCUUCAUUUUCCUCUACCUCAAUUGCCUACACUUUGGUGUGAUAAUCUCUCGGCUAUCUCUUUAGCUUCUAAUCCUAUUUUUCAUGCUCGAACCAAGCAUGUUGAGCUUGAUUAUCACUACAUCCGGGAGCUAGUCCUAGCAAAUCUCAUCAAAGUUCACUAUGUUUGAAGUGAAGACCAAUUGGCUGAUCUUCACACCAAGUCUUUGUCUAAAAGUCAGUUUUCUUCUCUGUGUUCCAAGCUUCCAAUUGGAAUCCUCUCUGAUUCCUCCUUAAGCUUGAGGGGGUGUAUUAGGGAGAAUGACAAAUCAUCAAAUAUAGUUAGUGAAAAAUAGUUUGUUAAAGCUAAGUGUAGUUAGUUUUAUUAGUACUUGUAAUUAGUUAAGGUAGUUGAGGGUAUUAUUGUAACUAGCCUAAGGUAGCUAAGGCUAUAUAUAUUCACAUCUGUGUAACUGAAUUAUUCAUUCAAUACAAUUGUAAAUCUUACAGAGGAAGUUUUCUCUUUCUAUAAACAUCUCAAUAAAAAAUUGACAGUAAACCAAUCUCAGGCAGAAAACCAAUCUCCUUAUAGACACCACAAAAAAUGAAAACUAAGUUUACCCAAAUGAAAACAGUUUCAAAAAUCUCACAUCUCUCCUUUUUUUUCCAGAUGGGAUACACACUGAAUGCAAAACCAUGGCAGAACCCGUACUCGAAUCAAAUAUAUAGACAUUCAAAUAAACCUCUGGAUUUCAGCACAGCUUCAAAAAUUAGACAAACAUAGAUUCCAAUUUCAUCUUUUUCUGUUGGGUAUCAAACACCACCAAAACUGAGGUCACCGACACACAAAUAAGCACAGUGACAGUGUUCGGGACAUAUAUAGAGCUCCAGAAAUCGAUUCGAUUUGCUACUCUUAAGGACACUCAAGAAACCAAAUCCCUAAUUACUCAAGCAACCGGAUUCAACAUAUCUCAACAAAUUAAACUCAAAUAAAAUACAAAAAAAAUUAUAAAAAAUCAAAUGAAAAUAAUAAAGCUGCAAAAUUGAGCAAAAGAAGUUCAAGAUCCGAUUGAAAAAAGUAGCAAGAGUAUACCUUUUCAAAUUGAAGGGAUCCAUUGACUGAUGACAGACAAAAAAGUAUGUCAAUUUGUACCCAAACCGAAUAAAUCCAUAAGAAAUUACUCCAUCACUUGAAGAAAAUUCAAAAUUACCAUUUGAAAUACCAGUGGUAUAGCCUCUUGAGCUUCCAAGCCUGAAAAUUCCAAAAAAUAUGCAAUCUUUGAAACACCCAUUUCAAUUAAAUAUCAGAAGAAUUUUCCUUUCCAAUUCAAAGCUUUGAAAAAAUUGAGAAAUUCAAAUUCUCAGUGACCAAGCAGGACAUUUACCAAUCAAGAUCCUAAACCCACAAAAUCAAUCCUAAAACGAAACCUAAUUAAGUACUAUGUACAUAUAUAACAUGUUAGCUUUCUACUUUUAAGAAAAAUUAUUAAAUUGGGGAAGUGAUCAAAUGGGAUGGGUCUUCCCUAUUAAGCAGCAGGAUUAAUUCCAACAAAAGAAACAAUGUGAUCAAGAUCAAGAACAAUGCAUGCAACAAAGUUACAGAGAGAGGGUGUGUGGAAAUUAGCAGGGUGGUAGAAUUCCAUACAUAGAGAUCCUGAGUGAUGUUGGAGAUCUCUUCCUUAGCUUUCUUAGAAACCCAAAAGCUCCAACGCAAGAUUUCAGCAUACGAACUCCUACCCAGUCAACCUCACACAAAAUUAGUUCAAAAUUAAACAGCUAGUCCCCAAAUUAACAAAGAAAGAGACAAAAGUGUUACUGAAUAGAAUUAAAUUGCAGUAUCAAUAGACUUCAAUAUAAACCAUUUACCCUGAAAAAACACCUCAACCAUGAAUAGAAUUAAAGUGUAAGUGAAAUAAUAUUUUGUACAAUAAAUAUAUAAGGGAUAUACAUUACAGAUAUACAUGAUGCAUAAAGUCUCCCAUGUUUUUGAAAUGAUAACGCUGCAAAUCCAAGAUAUAUGGCCAAUUAAUUGUUCAACCGCUAAUGGAUCGCUGGAUAUUCUUAGCUGCCUUUGCAGUUCGUGUUUGUCAUAUUCAAACACAACUCAGGAAAAAUAAAUAUAAACACAAAGAGAGAAGAAGAUAUAAGACAAUUACCUAUUUAGUGAGUUCUUGAACCUAUUUAGAGAGCAUUGGAAUGAAAUGAAGCCAACUCUGCAACAGAGAAACAAAGGAAAAAGUCAAAAUCCAGAAAUCCAAGUUUAACUCGAUCAAAUAUAAUAACCAAUGAAGGUUGCAAAUUGCAAAUUCUCGCAAUGUAGACAAAGAAAUUUGUUUCUCACCUAAGUUGCUCCCUUCUUGGGAUCCAAAUUUGAAGAAGGCCGAUGGGGAGGGGCAGUUAUAAGUGUCAUCCUCUUUGUUUCUCCUAUCCCUGCAUUGUCGACCAAAACAACAUCAAACCAAGAGCAAUACAAUCCAAUGUAAUGCUCACAAAAUUUGAAAUCCAAACAAAGUCACAGGUGGACAAUCACCUAAUCGAUCAUAACACCAUUCGCAAAUAUGAAAAACAUAAACAAUUAAGUCAGCAACAUGAUAUGCCAUUCCUUUCAUACAAUCAUAGAUUGCAAUUCAUAUAAGCCACAUUAUUCACAAACAAUUAAAUCAUCAUCAUCAUCAUGAAUUAGAGUGUAACAUGAACACCAUCAAUUAAAAAAGAUAGAGCUACAAGGCAAUAAACAUACAGAGAGGAACUGCUUUAGAUCCUUCCCAAAAGCAAUCUUCCGCAGAAUAACAAAAGAGCAGUUGAUCUUUGAUCUAAUUGCAGACACAAUCUGCAGAAUCAACUUCUAUGGAAUUUGAACUUGUGAAAUGUGGGGUGGAGACCUGAAUGUAACAAAUUGGUGUUAAGUGGAUAAUUCCAAACAUAUAAAAUUUAGACCAUCAAACUCGAAUGCAAACAGAACAAUUAAAUAAAGAAUCGAACGCAUACGCAAUCUAAUUAGACAAAUAAGUGAAAUUUCCCAUGCCGAAAUCUGCAAGGCCAACAGAAACCUCUCAUUACAGCACAUAAGACAAAACUUAAAUGACACAACUUAAAAGACAAAACUUAAAGGACACAACUUAUAACUAAUCAAAAUUAGGUGAACCAAUUGAAGAGAACAUAACCCUUGUAACCAAUUGGGAAAAGAUGCUUUAAAAUCCUAGAAAAAAAAAAAUUAAGAGGAGUUUUUAGAAAACCAUUAUUUCAAUUAUUUUACAGUCUUACAUUUGGGAUUAAACAGAAAAUAUAACUAAAAAUGCCAACUUUCUCAAAAAAAAAAAAAAAAAAAAAUACUACAACUAUUUUUACAAAUUUCCAUCACCCAACGCUGAAAAAUGAGAAUCACAAAGCAACGAAGAACGGAACACGCGAAAACCGAAACGUUAAAAACAAUACAUACCCAUUUCAAAGACCAAAAAUCCUGCAAGGACAAAAAAAAUCCAAGAAAAUUGGUACAUCAGCACUCCCUGCAAAACCCAAAAAUCAGAAAAUUAGAAAAAGAAUCCAAAAUCAGUGGCAUGGUCCUCGUUUCUCCAUUAAUCAGUAGCUAAUGACCUAAUGAAAAAGAACCCAAAACAGACUGCUUAAAUUAUGGAAAGUGCUUAUAAAGCUCACAAAUAACUUUCAGAGCCUGCAUAGAAAUGGUAUAGAGCAGAUAAUAACAACAGACAAUAAAACUAUGCACAGUUUAACCUAAAUCUGAUAUGUUCCAUUUCACACACACACACACAACAGAUAUGUCUACAUAUAUAUAUAUAUAUAUAUAUAUAUAGAUAUAUAGAUGACCCACAGAGGUUAAUACCAUGCGGAGGUGUGCAUGCGCACACACAUAAAAUAUACAUGCAUACUUAAUUUUUCAGACAAUAAUACUUCACAACAUAAGUUGCAAGCUGGGACCAUUUAGUUGACUCAAAAGAAAUUGAUGGGUUAGAAAAAGGACAAAAAAAUAAUAUAUAUAUAUAUAUAUAUAUAUAUAUAUAUAUAUACACACACACACAACGACGGAUGUUCUUAUGUCGUUCUCCUCUUACGUCGACAAAACAUACACACUUGUGUUUUAAUGCUCCAAUACUCAUUGAGAAGGCACCAGGCAAGAAGAAGCUCAAGGUUGGAAAGAAGCUUCCAAAGAGAACAAUCCAUAAAGCAGACCACAAAAAUUAGACAAUACCCAAAAACCAAACGGUAAAAAAAAAAAACCCUAAGAUGAAAAAAUAAAUAAAUGAAUAAAUAAAUUUGCAGAAAUGUCAUAUAGCUUGUGCCCUAACAUAUCCAAGUUGUCGUACAUCCUCGAGCCUUUGUGUUCAUAUGUGCUUCCUCAAAUUUAGUGUAAACCUCCAAAAUAAACUGCAAAUAUUCUAGAAAUGGUAAAAUGAACUGCAAACCCAUCAAUCAUUCCCCAAAAUGAACUCUAAAUCACAAAUGAGAACUCAUCAGGAAAGCAAGGCUUUUCUGGGCUUAAAAUUUCCUUCAAAUUGUGACCAAAUUCAUGGUUUUUCAGCUAGAGGUCGUUGUGCUUCGUAGCUUCUGUGGGAGAGAAUCGAAGAGAUUUCUAACGGCUUGGUGGUUUUUGAGCUCCUUGGUGAUUUCUGAGAGAGAAGGUGAGGAGAGAAAACGGAGAUGGAAGCAGAGUUGAGGCUAAGUCGUAGAAGCAGAAUCGCUGGCUUCCACGAUCAACAAAAAAAGAAUCGUUGGUGGUUUUUGAACUGUCGAUCAUCAAGCAUAACCGCACAACCCCCGGCCACGAUCCCUAUGCCUCCCCCUCAAAAUCUCGACGGUCCCCAUGCUUUUCUUUGACUGUACCCCCUCUUCCACUCAUGAAAUUGAGGAUCCCCACUCCCAUUUCUCCUUUUUUCUCUGUCGCUUCAUCUCCCUUUCCCUGUCUCUCUAUCUCGAAUCUCGAUCCCAGAACGGCAUGGCCUCCCAUCCCGAAACCCUCACUGAACGAAGAAUGAAGAGGAGGAGGCAAUUUUGUAAAUGAAGCAAAAUUUGGGCUGAAAUCAGCCCCGUGGUAAGCUCAUAAAUAAACUGAAAUGUACCCAAAAUUGCACAGUGCCACCUUCCCCUCCUUACCGUUGGAGAUGGUCUUAGACUAAGGUAAUGUUUUGGGAAUGUCAUUGUUAGGAUCCUGGCUGAGUGGACAACUGUUAAUCCUUCUUUUGUGUUAUUUUGUCCUUUCCUGGAAAAGGUUGGUUUCAUCCAACGGUAGAACAAGUGGUGAUGUGUUCCAAUCGUGAGCAUUCCCAUUUCUAGGGUUGUAUAUAAGCUCUUUUCACUAUUUGGGGAAGGUAUGAAUGAAAUCAAGAUGUUUUAGUUAUUUCUUUCCCUCUUCCCUUUACUUUAUGCACUGUUACAUUCUGUGAUCCUAUCAUCUAGUAUCAGCGACAGGUUGCUACCAUCCAUGGGCAAAAGCAAGGCCUCCGUGGUAGUAGCCGACGUCACGGACGUCGACCUAGAGUUGGAGUACCAACAACACCAGAUCUUGGAGCAGCUCCAGGGGUUCCAUGACUCGGUGUCUCUGCUAGCUACUCGUCAAGAGUCAUUCCAGUUGAAGCUGACGGAUAUCCAAGCUUCAUUGGCUAAUAUUAGCCUUGUCCAGCACCAUCUGAUGGAGGAGAUUCGAGCCUCUAGGCCACCACCGCCCUCUACCCCCCAUUCCACAGAUCUCGAUUGGGUCUUUGCAUAUUCACCUGGGUUCUUCUUCUACCCCGCUUCCCCAACCCUCCCAACCCACCCCGUUACCCCACUCCACCCAACCCCCUUCCUCAGCCCCGCCUCCAACUUGGGGCACCCAUUUUGCCCGUUCCCCCUCUCCCAUAUUCCCUACCCCCCUCAGCCGCUUACACACCCUCCUCACCAUUCCUUUUCACCAUCACCACCACCAUUCGUCCCCACCUUCCCCCCACUUUAUUUCCCAUGCCCCUCCACCCUCCCUACACCUUAGGCUCACUGCCUGCCAUGACCGGCCCUAAACACAUGAAGAUUAAGCUCACCCGAUUUUCUAGGGACGAUCCGUAUAGUUGGCUGGCCCUUGUCGGAGAGUACAUGGACUAUCACGGUGUCGAAGCGACGCAUCGGGUCACCAUUGCCGGGCUCCAUUUCAUGGGUGAUGCUGCCCUUUGGUUAAAAUGGUACAAACUUCAUAUUGGGUUUGGGCUUUGGACCACUUUUACAGAGUCUCUUCUCCAAUGGUUUGGGCUCGGAGACCAAUUGGACUUUAACAUGUCCUUUUCCCAUGUUUUACAAAAGGGCUCGCUAGAGGAUUACAUCAACGACUUCAUCCAUUUAUCAUGUCGGGCUCAAGGCUGUCUGAUUCCCAACUCUUAAGCGUUUUCAUUGGUGGGCUCAAAGUGGAACUGUAGGAUGAUAUCUUAGCCCAGGGGCCUUGUUCUUUGUCUCGGGCUAUUGAACUUGCCUGCAUCUAUGAUAACAAACACAAUAGACGCCGUGGCUAUUUUCGCCCUUUUUUGCUCGCUCAUCCUUUACCAACCCGAGUUCCUCUUCCUCCCUUCCCCCGCCCAAACAUGGACCACCCUCUUCAGCGUGGCCACCUUUACGCCUCUCCCUAGGGAAAGUUUAGGAACUUCGCUCCCGUGGCCAAUGCCUCUAUUGCACAGAGAAGUACUUCCCUAGCUAUACAUGUGUAAUGCCACAUUUACUUCUCCUUGAUGCCGCUGUAGUCUUCGAAGCUGCUUUUGCAACACCGGCCGAUGACCUCUUGCCGGCUUCUGAUGACCCCCUCUUGGAGGACACCACCCCCAUCACUUUCAACGCCUUGGAGUCCCCUAAAUGCACCCGUGGGCGUGCUAUGCGCCUCCUGGGCCACAUUAGGGAUCUACCCAUUCGAGUUUUCGUUGACUCCGGGGCUGACCUCAACUUCCUCAACCCUUCCGUCGCCACUCGUCUGGGCCUCUGCAUUGAUCAUUCCCUUAUUGAGCUUAUCAUGGUUGUGAACGGCCGCCUCUGUUAUACCACAAGUCUUACUUUCAACUUAUCGGUCCAGUUACAUGAUUACUCCUUUUCCUCGAACCUCCGUCUUCUACCAGUAGUAGGGUCUGACCUGGUGCUUGGAGCUGAAUGGUUAGAGACCUUAGGCUAUAUUGGCUGGCACUUCAAGAACAAAAUUAUGGAAUUUCAAGUUCUUGGUAGUAAUUACCGCUUACAUGGGCUCCGUUCCUCGAACCCCCUGCCCUCUCCUGUCUCCUCACAGGUCGACUUUCGCGUCAUGGUUGCCUCCCUGAUGAAAGCUCAUUCACACCUUGAUGGCCCUUCUCCAACACCACCCCUGCUGAAGCCGAUCAUGAGCACCUAGUCAGAUCUCUUCGAGCUUCCAACGGGUCUCCCUCCUCAGCGGCCCAUUGACCAUCAGAUUACAUUGUUGUCAAACACUCAACCGGUGAAUGUUCGUCCCUAUCGCUAUGCCCAUGCUCAAAAAGCAGAAAUGGAAUGUCAAGUGACAAAGAUGCUUGCUGCAGGUGUUAUCUACCCCAGUUCGAGUCCUUUCUCUUUUCCAGCUCUCUUAGUUUACAAGACCGACGUCACUUGGCUCUUUUGUGUGAAUUACCAAGCCCUUAAUUUGGUCACUGUCAAGUUCCCCUUCCCCGUCCCCGACAUUGAUGAACUACUUGAUGAACUAUGGGGUGCUACAAUAUUCUCUAAACUGGACCUUAGAUCUGGUUUCCACCAAAUCAGGAUGCAUGAGCCGAAUAUUCCAAAAACUGCUUUCCACACGCAUGACGGACACUUCGAAUUUCUGGUGAUGCCCUUUGGGUUGUGCAAUGCCCAUUCGUCAUUUCAGGUCCUCAUGAACUCCAUCUUCAAGCCUUUCAUACGAAAAUUUAUCUUGGUUUUCUUCGACGAUAUUCUCGUCUUCAGUCCCAACAUGCAAACAUAUUUCUCCCAUUUUGGUUUUUGUCUUCGAGGUUCUUCGUGCUCAUGCCUUGAAAGUCAAAGCAUCUAAGUGUUCUUUCGGCCAACCAACAGUGGCCUACCUUGGGCACAUUAUCUCAGCCGCUGGAGUGGCAGUGAACUCUCAAAAGGUGCAAUGCAUUUUGGCUUGGCCUCCGCCUCGAACCAUCAAAGGCUUACGAGGAUUUUUGGGACUAGUGGGCUACUACCGCAAAUUUGUUCGCAACUUUGGCUUACUGGCACGCCCCCUGACGGAUCUUUUGAAAAAAGAUAACUUUCAUUGGUUUCCGGCGGCAGACUCGGCGUUUUUAGCCCUCAAGAUCGCUCUUGCUUCCACACCGGUCUUGGCUCUCCCGGACUUCAACCAGCCAUUCACUAUCAAAUGUGAUGCUUCCGAGACAGGCAUCGGGGCUGUUCUCUCCCAAAAUGGCCACCCAAUUGCCUUCUUGAGCAAGUCGUUGGCAGCCAAACAUAAAGCUUUAUCAGUAUAUGAUAAAAAGAUGAUGGCUAUUGUCUUUGCAGUAAAAAAGUGGCGCCCCUACUUGCUCGGUCACCCAUUCAAAAUUCUCACAGACCACCAAACUUUGAAGUACUUCCUCAAUCAGCAGAUCACCACACCUACUCAACAAAAAUGGCUUCUCAAGUUACUCGGUUACAACUAUACACUUAACUACCGACCGGGUUUUUCAAACAUGGUUGCAGAUGCUCUGUCUCGACAACACGAGUGCUUGGCUCUUAUGGGCCUUUCCCAACCUAUCUUCGAAAGUUUCUCAGAGAUACAAGCCGAAUAAGAUGCUGACCCGGAGGCCUCCGCUAUUCUCCAACAACUCCACAACACCCAACCUACGCGCCUUCACUUUUCUCUUCAGGGUAACCUACUUUACUACAGGGAUGGUAUCUUUGUGGUAGCUACUUCUCCCUAGUGCACUCGCAUUUUACAGGAAUUUCACUCCUUACCCAUGGCAUGCUACUCCGGCUUCCUACGAACGUACAAACGGGUGCGUGGAAAUUUUAAUUGGCUUGGUCUUAAAAAGGCGAUCAAGUCCUUUGUGUCCACCUGCGAUACUUGCCAGCGCAACAAUUAUGAAGCCAUCAAACCACCGGGUCUACUCCAACCACUGCCCAUUCCUUCACAAAUAUGGACAGACAUCGCGAUGGAUUUCAUUGAAGGUCUUCCUCAAACUCACGGACGCAAUGUAAUAUUCAUCGUCGUUGACCGUCUCUCCAAGUAUGCCCACUUUAUUCCCAUCAAACACCCUUAUUCUGCCGUUAAGGUGGCUGACAUAUUUAUCUGUGAAGUGUUUCUCUUACAUGGCAUGCCUGCUACUAUCAUCAGCGACAGAGAUCCCGUGUUCAUCAGUCAUUUCUAAGAGUCUUUCUUUAAACUCAACGGCUCUCAGCUAUGCCGCAGCUCGGCCUACCACCCCCAAUCUGAUGGCCAAACGGAGGUUUUAAACCAUACCUUAGAACACUACUUGCGUAGCUUUGUGGGUGACAAACCCAGCUCCUAGGUUGAAUGGUACCUUGGGCGGAAUGGUGGUACAACACCACCUAUUACUCAGCUACCCAACUCACUCCCUUCGAAGCAAUUUACGACUACUCUCCACCACGGGUCUCCACAUACUUGCUAGGCUCCUUCCCUGUCCACCUUGUCGAUACCCAACUGAGAGACCGAGACACAUUACUCCGCCUCCUCCGAGACAACUUACAGCUUGCUCAAGAUUGCAUGCGCCACUAUGCCAACCAAAAACGCUUAGAGCUAGAGUUUCAAGUAGGUGAUUAGGUUUUCCUCUAACUCCAACCUUGUCGCCAGUCCUCCGUCAACCACAACAACUACCCCAAGUUGGCUCCCCGAUUCUAUGGCCCAUACAAAAUCAUUGCUUGUGUCGGCAAAGUCGCAUACACCUUGGACUUACCUUCGGACUCCCGCAUCCACCCCACUUCCAUGUCUCUCUCCUUAAACCCAAGGUCGGGUCUACUGUGGUUGCCUCCUCCAUGCUUCCCCCUAUCUCAGAUACAAGUAUAGUGGCUUGGAUGCUAGAAAAAAUUCUGCAGCGUGGCAUGUUCAAACGUGGUAACCAUGCUAUCACACGAUGGCUUAUCAAAUGGGCGGGCUUACCAAAACACGAUGCUACGUGGGAAGACGCGGGCACCAUCCUCGAGCGCUUCCCCGCCUUCAACGCUUGAGGACAAGCUUCUUCUUAAGGGGCCGGCAUUGUUAGGAUCCUGGCUGAGUGGACAACUGUUAAUCCCUCUUUUGUGUUAUUUUGUUUUUUCCUGGAAAAGGUUGGUUUCAUCCAAUGGUAGAACAAGUGGUGAUGUGUUCCAAUCGUGAGCAUUCCCACUUCUAGGGUUGUAUAUAAGCUCCCUUUUACCAUUUAGGGAAGGUAUGAAUGAAAUCAAGAUGUUUUAGUUAUUUCUUUCCCUAUUCCAUUUACUUUCUGCACUGUUACAUUCUAUGAUCUUAUCAGUCAUUCGAGAAUAGAAGGAUAUACAUACCUUGAUUGAGCAGGAAACAUCACUAAUAUUAGAUCCACAUCUGGAUAUUUACUUAUAUGAGAGGAAACUUGGUUACUUGGUGUGGUAAAAAGUAAAAAGGUGUGGUUUUGUCUAGUGUUGAGGUUGAGUUCAGAGGAAUGGCGAAAAUAUAUGGUUAAGAAAAUUACUCAACAAAAUUGGUUUUCUACCUGGAUCAUCCAUGAAUUUGUAUUGUGAUACUACAUCUACGAUUGAUAUAUCUCAUACUUCAGUUCAACGUGAUCGUACAAAGCAUGUCAAAGUGAAUAGGCAUUCAAGGAGAAGUUUGAGGCACAUAUUAUUCAAUGUCCAUAUGUGAAGUCUAAAGAUCAAUUGGCAGAUACUUGAUUAAGGUUGUAGAUAAAAAAAAGUUCCAUAACUUGAUUAAGGAGAGUGUAGGCAUGAGUCCCAUUCAAUGUAGAAUUGCAAUUAUCACAUUAUUAUUCUACUAUAAAUAAAAUAAGAGUGUGGCCAUUCAGUACUACGGUCUGGUGGUAUUCAUCUUUACUUGUAAGUGAGAGGUCUUAGGUUCGAAUUUCAUGGAUGGCAAAUUCGAUACCAAAUUAGGUUGCCCAUUGUGUGGCUUGACCGAAUUCACCCCUCUCCUCCCCUUAGUAUAAUAUAUCAUUGUACUAAAAAAUAAGAGUGCACUCACAUUAGGAUUGAGUUUCCUUUUACUAAGUACUUGUCUACUAUAAAGUAUGUGCCCUUCAUUCAUAGUGAGAAGAAUGCAUUCCAGAAAAUUCACUUAGCUCUAUAUUUUAACAAACAUUUGUAAUUAAAAAAAUGGCAGAAUUUACCUUUUUUUUGGGCAUAAUCCAACAAAUUCAGCUGAUAAAACCCAACGAUGAUAUAAGAUAUUUCUCUUUCUGGUAUGCAAGUGAAAGGAGAGAAUUGGGUUGAAAACAAUUAAAAAAAAUUAAAAUGAAUUUCUAACCGCAUAAUUUCCAAGAACCGCCAUGAUUAAAAGAUUCAAAAACAAAUUCUCCAUAUAGAGAUCCGAAGAGGAUCGGUGCGCUGAAAGUGGGAGGGAGUCUUCUUCAAAACCAUAAAUAGAUACUGCAUGUUCUCAGACUAAAAAUAGAUACUGCAUGUUUUAGAAUAAAAAAGUGGAUACUGCACAUGUGAUGUGAGGGAAAGAGAGAAUUAUACAUGAGAGAUAGAGAGAGAAAGAAAAUAAGAAUGAAAACAGAGUGAAAAUAUUUUGCUUAAUUAUUUAAGAGGACAAAAUUAGAGAGAGAGAGAGAGAGAGAGAUUUUAUUAAAAAUCCCAUUCGCCAUAAGGUGGUAGCCAUUAGCCAACCACGGUUCUUGGGGAUUUUAUGGAUUUCAUGAUCAUGAUCAUUCAUCAUACAUCGUACGGUCAGUUUUCGUUAUGUACUAUUUAUAUUUAAUUUUAAAUUUUAAAAUGCUUUAUGACCGCAUGAUGUACGAUGGAUGAUCCUGAUCAUGGGAUCUCUAGAAUUCCCAGGAAAAGGAUCUGGCGAGGAUCCUUUUCCGCUUCUCACAGUCUGCUAAAAAAAAAAAAAAAACUUAUUUUUGAUUCUCCAAGAAGAUGAGUUUUAGACUAUAACCUUGUAUAAGAUUAAAAUCAAAUUUUAGCCCCUGAUACAUUUAAUCAUCUCAUUUAUUAAUUAUAUUUUGAUGCUUUAUUUCUUCUUUCUUCCUAUUUUAAAUGUAUUAAUUACAUUUAAUUUUCAUUUUUAUUUUAGAGAACUGUUAUUAACACUGUAAAUAUUUGCAGACUUGAUUAUCCUUCUCAAAAACGAAGAUUGAUAGUUUGAUCCACCCAUAGAAAAGUAAGAAGGUUUCUGGGACUUGGCUCCAUGAAAUUUCAUUCUACACUCCUCAUAAGUGUGUUUUUCUUUCUAAUUAUAGAAAGUUUGGAGUGCCAAAUGAGAUUUUUGGAGUGCUAAUAACAAUUCUCUUAUUUUAUUCAUCAUAAUAUAUUUUGACGUCUACAUUUAGGUAAACUAAUUGUUUUUAUAAAAUAUAGGAAUAUACAAUUUGUAUUGUGGAUGCAAAUUUCUUCCUCCUUGAUUUUGGACAAAAUUGCACCUACAAAACAAUUAACACCAUAGGGUCAAGGCCAAGAGCUUCACGCGCCCAUGAUGAAUGGGCGAGGGUUUGGCCGAAGAACCUCUGAUGCUAAAAUUAGAAUUCAGAGAGAAAAUUGUUUGGAGAGUAUUGAGAAUUUUGCAAGUGUGUUGGAAUUCUCUUUUGGAGAAGAUGUGAGGCUUUUUAUAGGAGAAUGGGAAUAACUGACUUAAUUUAGCAAAAUAGAAUUAUUGCCAAAUUAACUAGCUAAUUAAGGUGAUGAAAUGGGUAAAUAUGAGGAGAUCAAGGCAUGGCCGGUUCCUUUUUUUAGCAAUAGGUGGCCGGCCCUUUAGUACAUAUUUGGAUAUAUUUUGUGGUUAAUUGGGUGACUUAAUUGGUAUUUAAUGGAUUAAUUAGGUAAUUAAUCCAUUAAUUAGCCAAUUAACAUAUUUUUGGAAUGAAUAUUUUGGAGGUUAUGAUAGCUAAUUGAUUAGCUAAAAGAGGAAAAAAUUAGGUAAAAUAUAUGGAAUGAAAUAGGUUUUAGGAAUUACUUUGUAGAAGGAUUUGAUGAGAUGAAUUUUUGAAUUGUUACCUUUUUCGGGCACUUUUGAUUUGGUUGAAGAAUGAUUGCCCGCUGCUUGCGCGUAGGAAUCCUGUUGUACCUCAAGGGUACUUUUGUCCUCUUUUGUCCAAAAAUCCACGUGUCGCCUUGUGAUUAUUUUUGGCUCCACAAAUGCCCUCACACCUGUUGGGCUGCUCGUAGGAAAGGGCAUCAGGUGUAGAGAUCAUCUUACUUUAGGAAACGUAUGACUGCUUCCCAUUUUGAUGUAGAUUCUCUCUUUAAUAGGAAAUUAGGUCAUUCUAGGAAAGGGAAAUAAAUUUCUCUCAAAGCCUAUUUAAGUCCACCUUAAGUGGGUUAUUAAAUCAACUUUGGAGAGCGAUUUAUUCUACGCUACAAGAGACAGAUAGAGCUUAGAGGAUAUUUGUUCCUCCUCCUCUAGCAAUCUUCUACAUCUUGCCCGUGCAAAGGUUCGUCUUUUGUUGAUUUCUUCGUCUUCUUCGUGCCGCAUCGAUGUAAGAAAAAUUUAAUUUUUUCUUGUCUUAUUCUUGGAUAGUACUAUUGCGGGCAGCCGUCGGGGUGGUGCGGCACGUCGCCUGGCAGGGGCUAGGAGUCGGCUCGGCAUGGGCCAAUGAGGCGUUGUGGCAGGGGCCACUACUUAGGCUGUUUGGCUUGGCUAGAGCCAAGGGCAGCUUGUGCGGCCGGGGCCACAUAUUAUGGCGCUGCGGCGCAGUGUUAGGUGAGCCACAUGGCUCAUAUCCUUUGGGCUCUUAGACCUUACUCGAGCCAGGCUGGCGACUGAAAGAUAUGAGAAGGUCGUGGGCCUCAUGGGUUGCUGGAAUGAUAGGCAUGCAGGCCUUUUGCCUACUAGAAUGCUGGUUUGAGCUCAUCUGUCGAGUGAAUGGUGUUGACUGUUUAGUUCUUUUUGCUGAGAGAAAUGUGGGAUGUUCCCGAAAGAUGACGUAAAGAGGAUCAAGGAAGAUGCAUUGGCUCAUUUGAUCAUUGUCGUGGAGCUUAAUAUGAAUAAACGUGGAAAGAAGAAAUCUUCCUCGCCUACUCAAGAGAUGUCGGUUGAGAAAAAAUUAAAGACUUCCUCCACUGCUCAUGAUGAUAUGUCUGCUGUCGAAAGGCCUGUGAUUAGCAUGACUUCUUCCAAUGGGAAGAAAAAUGAGGCUGCUAAAUCUGAGCAUGUGGCGCCUUCCAUGUUGAGAAUGGCUAGUACAAUUGUUGAUAAGAUUGCUCAGCGUAAAGGUUUUAUCAUGCCCACAAUGCUGAAGUCUGUACCAGGACGUUCGUUGGGAGCCAAGUCUAGUUCACCUAGAGAGAUUUGCUAUUAUGAAGAGUGGUAAGGUGGACUCUGCUACUAAAGUGGUGCCAAGGCCCACACCCUUUGCUGCUGAGACUGAUUCGCCUGCUAGGAAGGAAGAUACUGCUCGCGUGGGCAGCUGUGAGAAAUCCACUAAGCCUGCUUCUGGGGAGGCUGCUAAGAUCUGUGUGCUUUUAAAAUUAGAUCUUCUUGAAGUCAUGGACGCUUGUGCCAAGUUUGUUGAUAGCGGUAUAAAGGUUGUUUGCCCAAGUUCCUAAGCGAAGCAUAUGACCCAAUAUAGAAUGAUUGCUCUGCUUGCUAUGAUGCAUAUAUAGCAAGGCUGUCAAGGAGGUGGCAAAGAUUAUGGUAGUUGAAGCUUAUUCCUCAGCCGAGGAGAUCAAGAGGUUGGAUUCUGAGCUUGUUGCUUUGAAGGGGUCUAAUAUUUUUGCCCCCACUUCUCUGCAGCUUGAGACCGCUCGCCACAAGAUCGUUGACUUGAAGACUAGGCUUGAUGUGAUCCAAGUUAAGUAUGAAAAUGCAGAGAAGAAGAUUAAAUGUUACAUACCUUAGAUUCAAGAUCUUGAGUUUGCAGUUUCUAAGCUUCGUUUCGCUGCUUAUGCAAAUGAUGAAGAGUUGAUUGCUGCUUAUGCUAAGAAGGGAGUGGAUGAGCUGCAGCGUGGUCGUGUUAGUCUGCUUGAGAAGAAUAACAGUUGAAGGGUGAGAAUGAUAGGCUUGAGGUUUCGAGACUUUCUCUAUUUCUUCGAAAGACUUGCUUGCUUUUACUUUUGAGGCUUCCAUUGGUGAAGUAGUUGGAAAAGUUAGUGCCCAGGCUGGGGCAGCCGGGGGUGAAGCACCGUAUGAUUUCGCUGCUAAGAGCAUUACACCUACUGAAGGUAUGGUGAUCGAGUAGUCGUGGGAUGUCCAAACUGCUGUAGUGUAGUAUUCUAGGUAGCCUUUAGGAUUUUCUUUGUUUUUCUUUGUAGCUCUUGUUUUGCUUGAACUCAUUCGGCCUUUGCUAGUUGUUUAUAAACAUGUUUUCCUUCUCUUUUCUUCAUCUUCGCUUCUUUUGUUCAUGCCCUAACCUUUAGACUUGAUAGACCAGUGGCAGGCAUGCUACUUUUUUAUAAGCAAACAAGCUCGUGUAGCCUAUGCAGCCGUAGGUGUUGGUGUAGAACUUUGCAAAGUUGUUAGUCAUAGGGUUGGUAGCCGGAUGCCUUACUUACAGAAGCAGACAAGUUCGCGUAACCACUAAGUUGUUAACCUUGACUUUCUCCAAUUCCGUAGGUUGCGUAGCAAGUAUCACAACACUUUAGGACUUGGUGUAGGUUGUUCCGCGCUUGGCAGAUGUGAAGCUUAUAGACUAUGUAGCAUGUCGGCAAUGGAUAAAACUUCGUAUAUGCGUGCUAGCUUGUUUAACCUUUCACAAGAAUGUGUGGUUGUAUAAGUUUAGCGUGGCUUUACUGCUUGAAGAGCAAGCCGUAGGCAGUCUUCCGGAAUCCGUAGGCUACCUUAGUGCAUUCGGUAGCAACUUUAGGGUUCCAGGGCAGCCGUCUGUACAGCGUACUGCAUAAUGUGCCCCAUCUGUCUCUAGGGCCCGGUUUCCCUCGGAUUAGGCCAAGAGACCCAAAAUCCUUCAGUUAGCUAAGCCUUGAAAAAGACCAUUAUGGCUACUUCUAGGAAUCCCGGUGUAAACCAUCGUGUAUCUAGUUAUACUAGAGCAGCUAGGCUCAUCUACGUCUGGAUAUUCGGAGUGUAAAGUUUAUCCUCUCGUCUUGAAGAGCUGACCCAUAUGGGUGUCGGGGAAUUGGUUUACCUUCUCGCACUAGAGAGCAAUUAGUUUACCCUCUCGCACUAGAGAGCAUGGUUGGUUCUUGGGGGGGGGCGCAAUUCUUGCGAUGAGUCCCUAAUAAGGCUUUUGAAGUGCCGGAAUGAUCAAUUGUUGUAAGCAUGCAGCCGAGCCAAGUUGUGAUUACUUCUUAAUUUCUCAUUGAAAAACGAGUGAAACGAACGAGAACUUAGUUGUAAGGUAGAAACUGCAUAACAACUGGAUAGUCCUCGGCUUGUGAGGUGGUGCCCGUCGAGCUUCUUGAGUCUUUGGGCUUUGAUGUAGUGGGAGGUCGUCAGAUUGUAGGCGUUCCACUACUUUUCGAUCUUUUUAUCAUUUCAUGGUGACGAGGGUGUAAUUACUCUUGUCGCCUACUCAGCUGAUCUUGUACGGACCUUACCAGAUGAGAUCCAUCUUUUUGGAGCCUUCUCUGUGGGCAAUGAUGAAGGCUUUUCUUAGGACUAGAUCUCUGGGCUGGAACUACCGGAUCUUAGCUCUUUUGUUGUAGCUGGAAAGGAACUGCUGCUGGUAAGCUGCGAUGCGAGUGAUAGUCUGCUCGCACUUUUCCUCUGCCAGAUUUAAGCUUGUGGCCAUCUCCUUUCUGUUGCUUGUCUUUUGGUGGUGCGAUAUGCCUAUAGACAUCUAAGGAGUUCGUCUGGCGAUUUUCUUUUCUUACUAGUGGAGGAUUUCUUAUGGCAGUCGAGGAUCAUCUUGGUGAUACUUUGGCCCGCCUAUUGCCUUGAGAAUAUCUUGGCGUAGACAUGUGCUGCUUGAUGCCAUAUUUUUGGAAGAACUUCGCCAAAUCUUUGCCUACGAAUUGAGGGCCGUUGUCAGUGACGAUGGAUUAAGGGAUGCCAAAUCGGCAAAUGAUUUUCCUCUAUAUGAAACGCUCUAUGUCCGUCUGAAUUGUGGUCGUCAUGGGCUCUGUCUAUCUAUCAUUAUGAAUUUGCCGUAGGAGCUGGUGAUACUGGGAUUUGGUAAGUGCGCUUUUUGCACGCUCUCUUGCUAUUUGAAACGCCUAGUAGUGGGGCUGGUAGAUUAGCUGUCGAAUCGUUAAUUAAAAGUUUUUGAAACGCUAAGUCUUCGCAAUUCGUUCGCGCGUGCUCGAGGCUUCUACUUUGUUCCAGUUCUGUAUGCUUGAACUCUCUAAAAUGAUGUUCCCGUUGCGGGUGCAACUGCCAGAAAGAUCUUCAUCGUUUCUGUCAGGCCUCUAUAGAUUUGGAUGUUACCGUCUGGGUGCAAAUGCCGCUCUUUAGGUGAGUAGUGCGUCUAGGGACGCCUUCGGGAGCAGGGGGUUUCGUUUGGGCCGCAUUUAAAUGCUCAAACGCUGGUAUUGGACCAUCGCUAGGGAUGUUUAUUGGCAGCAAGGGUCUCAACUGCGUUGUGACAGACACUUUACCGUCGAAUUAUGUACAAGGUUGCUCCUAUAACGUGUUUUUGGUAGAGGAAGAUGUGGUGUUCGGCUUAGUUCUGGACGCUCGUCUGCUACCUUUGGCGUUCUUUCGUUGGGGGCCGAGUUGUGCGUAGUGUCAGAAAGUUGCAUUCACGGAGUGCGUGUCUUUUGGCCAGUGUGUAUGGGAAAACUUUGCAAAACAGAUCUUAUGCUUUUAUCUAUAGCGUUGAUAUGGAAUUGAAACAUUUCUAGGCCAUUACGUUUGAGGAAAAAUACAGCUUAUUAAAUUAGAAAUUAAGCAGGGACCCAAAGAUUUUGCAAAAAGGGUAAGGCUAGAGCCUUCGGAGAAUCGAACUGUUAGGGCUAGUCAAGUCAGACUUCAUGGUGAAAUCAGAGAGAAAAAGUUCAAGGAGAGUAUCAUCCGAUUCCUUGCAAUAUCUCCUUCAGAAGUGUCCCAAAGUUGCAUUUAUAGAGAGUGAAUAAUUUGGUAUAGACUUUUUUUCAUUAAUUAUUUAAUUCGGGGCAAUUGGGAUGCCAUUUAAAGAGCCUAGCAAGGUGGCGUCUUUGCAAUACUGGCCGGGUCCUUUUUAAUAUUUGGAUAAGGAACGCUACGGGUUUUUUUUUAUAUAAAACAAAUUAUUUUUUAAUCAAAACAGAAUUGGGUUUUUUGGAAAACCAAAGAUAGGAUUGAUUAAGCCUAAAAGAAGAAAAUUCAAAAACCUCGGUUUUUGAGCGGGUGGGAUUACCUGCAGUGAGAACCAUAUCUUCCCUUCCCUCGCCUUUUUUUUUUCGGGCGCACAUAAGAAGGAUUGUGUGCUGAACGGAGGCUCUGCGCAGUGCUUAAAUCUGACCUUCAUAUGAUGUUAUGAUUAGUUGCACGUUGAUAAGUAGGCUGUUUGGAUUUAGGCUUAAAAACUCUAUGUUGGUAAUUUGCUUAUAUAGCUAAUAACCUACUUGUUUGGAUAAUCAUAUUUCCUUCCACAUUAAUUCAAUUGCUGCGGCGGCUGAACCUAAUUCUUGCAUACGUUGAUCUCAAGCAAUUGACAUAAACUACUUGAGUAUGACUGCUUCUCUCGGUCUGUCGUGCAGCUUAUUAGGAUGCCACAACGGGCUUAGGUGAAUGAACACUUCAUAGAGGUUGUUUAUGUUGACUAUCGCCCACCCAACCCGUGAAUGUAUGUUUCGUUUAUGGGCUAGUUAAGAGUGCACGCUCCUCCGCGCUCUAAGACUGGGAGUAUACAUUUCGGGGCCUGUGUCGAGGAACUUAAACUGCCAGAACACUCGGAUCAGUGGCUCACUACCUGGUGGAGAGGUUCAUUUGCCCUUGUCCUACUUUGGGACACCUUAGUUCAUUUUAAUUGAAAAAAAAUAUGUACAAAAACAAUUAAUGUGCCUCUUUGAGCAGUGGAAGUGUGGUAGGCUCUAGGCGCGAGAUUUGAGUUGGGAAAUAUCAAAUCCGAGAAGAAAUGUGGUGAAAAUGGCCCCGGCUUGAUGGUAGGUCCGGAUAGUUGAGAUAGUCAUGGGCCGACUUGGGCUGCUUGGAAAGCCACGGGAGUAGACUGGGUCGGGGGAGCAGGCUGGGCCACGAAAGUGGGCUGUUGGUCUGGAGCAGGCUGGGCCGCGAGAGCAGGUUGUUGGUGGGAGUAGGCUGGGCCACGAGAGUAGGCUGCUCGGCAGGAACAGGCUGCUCAGUGUAUGAUGCAUGCAAAUGCGAGGCUUGGGCUCGGGCCCGUGCAAGCUUGGAUGGCACAGCUUGGGCCAUGGUGGAACCUCGUAGUGGUGGUACCACUCCGCCGAUGACCACAUUUAGCCUCGUGGAUUGUCGCGGUCCCAUUUCUUGAGUAUUAGAAUUUUCACUUGGGGAAUUUUCUAAAUUUCUAGCCAUUAUAUUUUUCUUAUACGUUUUAUCAAAGAACCUUUGCAAAUAAAAAAUUCUAAUAAUAAGAACGUAUGAAAAAUAUUCAAAUGGAUUAGAAAAUAGAGAAAAACCUUUUUAUGCGAGAGUCUUCUACGAGUAUGGAUCUCACCUCUCAAUGAAAGCACCCAUUUUUGGAUACAAAUUUCUUCGUCCUUGAUCUUGGACAAAAUUGCACCUACAAAACAAUUAACACCUUAGGGUCAAGGCCAAGAGCCUCACGCUCCCACGAUGAAUGGGGGGGCUUUGGCCGAAGAACCUCUGAUGCCAAAGUUAGAAUUUAGAGAGAAAAGUGUUUGGAGAGUAUUGAGAAUUUUGCAAGUGUGUUGGAAUUCUCUUUUGGAGAAGAUGUGAGGCUUUUUAUAGGAGAAUGGGAAUAAUUGACUAAUUAAUUUAUCAAAAUAGAAUUAUCGCCAAAUUAACUAGCUAAUUAAGGUGAUGAAAUGGGUAAAUAUAAGGAGAUAAACAAGGCAUGGCCGGUUCCUUUUUUAGCAAUAGGUGGCCGGCCCUUUAGUACAUAUGGAUAUACUUUGUGGUUAACUGGGUGACUUAAUUGGUAUUUAAUGGAUUAAUUAUGUAAUUAAUCCAUUAAUUAGCCAAUUAACAUAUUUUUGGAAUGAAUAUUUUGGAGGUUGUGAUAGCUAAUUGAUUAGCUAAAAGGGGAAAAAAUUAGGUAAAAUAUAUGGAAUGAAAUAGGUUUUAGGAAUUACCUUGUAGAAGGAUUUGAUGAGAUGAAUUUUGAAUUGUUACCUUUUUCGGGCGCUUUUGAUUUGGUUGAAGGAUGAUUGUUUGCUGCUCGAGUGUAGGAAUGCCGUUGUACCUCAAGGGUAUUUUUGUCAUCUUCUGUCCAAAAAUUCACGUGUCGCCUUGUGAUUAUUUUUGGCUCCACAUGUAUAAUCUUCAUUUAGGUACAAUAAUUCAUUUGAUAUGUUCCGGUAUAUCCAUUGAUACAAAUAUAUAGCUAAUUAAUUCAAUAUAAUACAUUUUUGUAUGUAUAUUUCGGAACAAUAAUUCAAUUUAAUACAUUUGCGUACAUUAAUUCAAUAUAAUACAUUUCAGUAUUGACAUAAUACAUUUCGGUACAUAUUAGGUUCAUAUUAAUAUAUGCCAGUACAAACAUUUCGAAACAAUCAUUUAUGUACACUUCUGUGUUUAUAUAUUUAUGUGUCACUAAUUUGUUUAGUAUUUUCUCAUUUAUGUUCAUUUAUAAUUGAAAAAACUAAUAUGUGCAUAUUAAUAAAAUCAAAAUUUUAAUGUGGAGAAAUUAAAUAAAAACACAUUAAAUAACAAAAAUGUUGUAAACUUUCUUGUUUAAGUGAGAUUGUGUAAAUCCUAGAUUAGAUUUGAUUCUAUUUAUUCUUUCCUAUAUGGACAUGUAUUCCUUGGGGAUGAAUGAUUUCUUCUCCCUCUUAUUACUAUAAAUAAAGGCACUACGUAGGGGGAAUAACACACACAUUCCUCUACACAAUUCUACAAACACAUCUCUCUCUGCCGCUAGCCCCCUUCCCUUGUCAGAUGAAAUAGGGUGCAACAAGUUAUCAGCACGCUCCUACCGCCACGCUUAGAAAUUUGACGUGGAAGCUUUCUGCAUCAAACCAGUUCAUCCAUAUCAUCAUGCAAUCAAGUUCUUCCAAAACAACGAUUUUUAUCUCGAUAUUUUUGCAGCCCUGAUAGCUUGAAUAUUCACCAUAAUGCAUCACCCAACUUUACGUUUUUCGAAUUUUAGAUUCUACAUAAAUUAUGUAUGCAUUAUAUUCAUAAUUGUUGAAUUAUGUGAAUUUGAUAUUGUCAUGAAUUGCAUCAAAUAUAUGUCCAUGCAUUAAAUUAUUUGAAUUGAAUAUGCAUGCAAUUGAAUUUUAUAAUCUUAAAAAAAAAAAAAACGAAACAGUUAGGGUUUUUCGAACCCAUGACCUGUGACGCACACCUAAGCUCAAUCGAGCCUUUCUGGGUCGCGAUGCACUGGAGCCGAACCCAUACGAUGUUGUUUUGGCAUCAAACCCACGACCUAGCUCCACCUGUAGUCAGCCACGGCCUAAUCGCCUUUUUCCUUAGGAAAUCGCAACUUUGCAGUCAUGCUUAGGACCAAACCAUCGUUGACGACGAUGAUUUUUUUCCCUCCAAACCUAGGGUUCCUAAUUGAACCCCCGUGCAUCUCCAUGCCGUGACCACUCGAGGUAAGUCGCUUGAAGUGACGUCGAAGUUUUUUCAGUUCGAAUCCGACAACCAACGCCGCUGAGUUAUCCUGGGUUUCUCAACCUAAGCCCUAAUGGGCCUCGGACCCUCGGGCCUGCAUCGCACAACACCUUUUUAGGCUUGCUGCUUGUUUUUACUGCCACGAUCCAACUCCAAACAGCCCAUUAGGCUGAAUUGGACGCUUGACCCAAAUUCGACACCAGCUUGUGGCUAUGGUGUCCCCAUGUCCUACGACGCACUGGAUUGCAUCCCCCAGGUUCUAAUUGGCCCGAAGUCCAAAUAAUUAAUUCAAUAAUAAUUAUAGACCUGAAGAUCUAAUUGCAUAUUUUCUUGUUGCAUAUAUAUAUAUAUAUAUAUAUAUAUAUAUAUAUAUAUAUAUAUAUAUAUAUUUGCGUUUGUUUGCAGGAACAUAUGAACCUGAAGUUCAUAAUUAUUUCAAAACCAUAAGUUUCUAGAAACAUGCCUUAUUUGAAAACAUGAUGUUUUCCUUAAAAACAUCACCCAUGAAAACCCGUAGUUUUUUCAUGUCAAUUUUAACCAAUACGCCCAAUAGAGAGCCACUAUGUGGUCGGCCCUACCUUUGGGACUGUGCACGAAAUUACACUUUGGCAUGAUCGUUUGGGACACCUUGGAUGAAUAGUGAUGCGCCGUAUCCUCAAAUCAUCACACAUGCAUCCCAUUAACCUAAAGCUUAGGUUCAAUUCAAGGAAUCGUAUGUCAAACAUGUUCAAUAGGAAAGUUUAUUAUUAAGUCUUCUUAUGACAAGAUUCGUUCGGAUCCUCCUAUUUUUCUACAAAGAAUUCAGGGGGAUGUUUGUGGACCGAUUCACCCUCCAUGCGGACCAUUUAUAUAUUUUAUGGUUUUGGUUUACGCUUCCACACUUUGGUCCACGUGUGUUUGUUGUCCACAAGGAACGUCGCAUUCUCCAAAUUGUUGGCUUAGGUUUGCACGCAGCCAUGUUGGUCCGCCUAAGGCUUAUUGCGACCCAACCAUAUAGCGUCAUUCAGUUGGUUACCGGAUAUGAACCCGACAUAUUGCAUCUGCGCACUUUUGGUUGUGCUUAUGUGCCAAUUUCACUGCUCUUACGCACAAAAAUAGGGCAUCAACGAAUGAUGGGAAUCUAUGUCAGAUAUGAUUAUCCUCCGAUCAUUUGUUGCUUAGAACCUUUGUUAGGCGAUAUGUUUACCACUCGUUUCGCAGAUUGUCACUUCUAUGAGACAAUCUUCCCGUCGUCAGGGGGAGAUAAGAACAUCAAUGUUCUUGAAAAACAACGCGAAUUAUCGUGAACAACUCCCACUUUGUCUCAUUUAGAUCCCCACAUCGCUUAAUCUGAAACUGAAGUGCAUCACAUAUUAGAUCUUCAAAGCAUAGUUCUGAGCAUGCUAAAUACUUUCACCGAUCUAGCGAGAGUGACAAAAUCACAUAUUCCAGCUGCGAAUGUGCCUGCAAAGAUGGAUGCACCAAAUGUACGACGAACUUCCCUCCUAGAGGCUCGAGACGCCAACUUUGGGGAUCCACGUACAUUAGCGGCUAGCCAAUCAUUUGCCCCUACACAUAAGUGUGGUAGACCUCUUGGUUCAAAUGAUUCACACCUUCAGAAGAGGAAACCCACGGCAGAGGCACCUGAAGAGCCAACCGUGAAUCCGACUGUUGCAUACUCAUUUUAUCCAACUUAUGAGAAAAUUCUAGAUUAAGGAAGUGUCCUUGAAGAGACAAAUCCACCUUUCUAGAAUCAUGAUAUUUCGAUCUAUUAUGCUAGCUUAGAUGAUGUUUGGUGUAUAAAUGAGAUGAUCGACGACAAUGUAUUAACAUAUGCAGUAGCUACUGAGAUCAUGUUGAGCGAUGACAUUGAACUCCGUUCCGUUGAUAAAUGUCGACAUAGAAUCGAUUAGUCAAACUAGAAACAAGCAAUCCAAGUCGAACUCAAUUCGUUUGCGAAACGUAAGGUGCUUGGACCUGUAGCUCAUACUCAUCCACAUGUGAAGCCUAUUGGCUACAAGUGGGUUUUCAUUUGAAAGUGUAAUGAGAAGAACGAAAUUAUGUGUUACAAAGCUCGUCUUGUUGAGCAAGGCUUCUCAUAAUGCCCUGGGAUUGACUAUGACGAAACUUAUUCACCCGUUAUGGAUGUGAUUUCUUUUCGUUACCUUAUCAGUUUGGUAGUUUCUGAAAAACUGAGUAUACAGCUGAUGAACGUAGUAACAGCAUAUCUAUAUGGGGAUCUUGAUAUCGAAAUUUGCAUGAAAGUUCCCAGAAGGACUUAGAUUGAUUGGAUCAAAUAUUUCCAAACUCCAGAACAUGCUUUUAAUUCGGCUGAGGUGUUCACUCUGCGGUUUGAAACAAUCCAUAAGAAUGUGGUAUAACCGUCUGAGUGAAUAUUUGACUAGUUUGGGAUAUGUGAACAAUAAACUAUGCACAUGUGUGUUCAUUAAAAAGUCACAUUCCCGUUUUGUGAUAGUUGCAAUAUAUGUCGAUGACAUGAACCUCAUCGGAACUUCUGACGAGUUCACGAGAACUGCCACGCACAUAAAAUCAGAAUUUGAGAUGAAAGAUCUAGAAAAGACUCAAUACUGUCUUGGUUUGGAGAUAGAGCACUGUUCAGAUGGAAUCUUAGUACAUCAAUUGAACUACACCCAAAAGGUGUUGUGCCGCUUUAACGGGGAUAAAGCGAAGUCUUCGAGUACUCCUAUGGUCGUUCGAUCGUUAGAUGCAAAAUGAGAUCCCUUCCGUCCGAAGAGAUUUUAGAGCCUGAAGAUCCUUAUCUAAGUGCGAUAGGCGCUUUAUUGUACUUAGCUCAAUGCCCUAGACCCGACAUUUUCUUCAUUGUUAAUCUUUUGGCAAGAUACAGUAGUGCACCAACAUGCAGACAUUAGACUGGUGUUAAAGACAUUUUCUGCUACCUUAAGGGUGCUACGAAUUUGGGCUUGUUUUAUCUGUACGGAUCCUCGAGUGAUGUUGCACCCCCUUGUCUUGAGUCGAUUCUCGCCUUGUUGGUUAUGCCGACGUAUGAUACUUAUCUAAUCCGCACAAGGCGUGUUCUCGAACGGGUUAUGUCUUUAUUGUUGGAGGCACCAUAAUCUUUUAGAGUUCAACUAAACAGACCUUAGUUGCCAUUUCGUCUAACCAUGUUGAAAUUCUCUCAUUAUACGAAGCAACUUGGGAAUGUUUUUGGUUGAAAACAGUUAUGGGCCAUAUUUGAAGCUCUUGCGAUGUUUACCCUAUCGUUGAUGUCCCGAUGAUUGUCAAUGAAGACAACGCAGCAUGCAUCGAACAACUUAAGAAGGGUUACAUUAAAGGAGACAUCACCAAGCACAUUGCGUCGAAGUUCUUCUUCCCACAUCAACAAUAAGAGCAUUAGAAGAUUGAAGUCACGCAAAUCCGUUCACAAGACAAUCUGGUCGACUUUUUCACCAAAUCACUACCGAAGAAGACAUUUCAGAAGCUUGUUCAAGGAAUCGGUAUGCGUAAACUUUCUAAGUUGUAAAAUUGCUAGUUCUCUUUGGAACUGUAUCAAACUUAGGAGGAGUAUCCUAAAGUAUACUUGCUUGAUCUUAAUGUACUAUUUUUCCCUACGAUUAUGAGCAUUUUUUCCACUGGGUUUUUGCUACCUGACUAUGUUUUAAGAGGCACCUACCUUGGGUUGAUCAUAUCCCUGAUGAUGUCCAUAGACGUUUCAUUUGACUUUGCAUUACUCACGCAUUUUUCCUUAGACUAUGGAUUUUGUACCUACUCGGGUUUUUGCCAUAGCCGUACGUUUUUUGUGAGACUUACUUCCUUAUGCAUAUUCCUACCUUAUUAAGAAUAGCGUGUUCCUAAAAUCAGUGUUGACGAGUCGUCUUCCUCAACUUCAACAUGAUGCCGAAUCUACCUUGAGUAUUUACACACUCAAGGGGGAGUGUUGUAAACUUUCUAGUUUAAGUAUGACUGUGUAAAUCCUAUAUUAGAUUUGAUUCUAGUUAUUCUUUCCUAUAUGGACUUGUAUUCCUUGGGAUGAAGGAUUUCUUCCCCUUUUUAUUACUAUAAAUAAAGGCAAUACGUAAGGGGGAAUAAUACACACAUUCCUCAAAACAAUUCUACAAACACAUCUCUCUCUUCUCUCUUUGCCGCCGGCCUCCUUCCCUUGUCAGAUAAAAUAGACUACAACAAAAAAAAAAGAAUAUAAAUUUUAAUAAAAGUACACUUUAUUGAAUUGAAUAUGCAUCAGGUUUUUAUUUUUUAUUUUUUAUUUAUUUUUUAUUUAAAUUCUAAUAUUUUGGAAGGACUAAUGUUCAAAAACCCCAAACGCUUAUUAGAAGCUAUAACUUAAUCCAAAUUUACUCAAAGUCUUAAAAGCAUUGUUGCCAGAUUUGCUCCUUCUGCAAGGCAGCUGUGGUUGACUGUAUUUACAACUUUGACUGGAAGAAAGGCGCGGAUGAGGACUUGGCAUUCCUAAUCCAGUGAAGAGGCCAGACGGCUUUGUUAGAAAUCUCUGAUCCGUUAUAACACUAAGAUAUUGAUUAGCCUCCCUCAACCCUCAUCCCUUUCUCUUUUUUGUGGUCGUUGAGGCUAAGAAGAUAUGAGCAACCCAAGUCCCCUACUUGUUCUAGUCCUCCGGCCUCUAUGUCGUCUUAAUAUCCAGGGCAUGAUAGAAAAUAGCAAUGUACUAGAAAUUAUACCCGCGCGUUGCUGCG
rnacentral:lncRNA from 1 species